rnacentral:lncRNA from 1 species
CACGUUUGUAGUCGGAUCGUCAAAGUCGUCUCCACCAAAUCGAUAGUUAUCAUCUCAUCGAAAGAUCGGGACACCCCCGCCUCUAUCAAGUGGUAUCAGUUUUCAGGUUGCUCGGUGAGAUUUUACAGUUUUCCUAGAUUAGAUUUAUUUUCUUACCUAUUGUCCAAGAAAAAGCCACACAAAAAAAAGUUAGAUCUGUUCAUCCUUUAUCCAAGCCAGUCUCAGCCUUUGCAAUUUUCUAUUCAUUGCUUGCAUAGUUGAAUUAUCGGUUGCAUCGUCGUGUCAGUUGCUGGUCUUAGCGUCUAGUUCCUUUAGAGUUUCGAGUUCUGUUCACAUUAGUCACGCCGCCGCUGCAUCAUUAUCCCUUCCGCUGUCCACCAUCCCAUCUAUUAAUUUCCACCACGUGCUACGCACUGUUCAUUGUCAUAAUCAUAGUUGAGGUCAUUCACAUCUUCGACUGAUCCAAUCUGCAUCUUAUCUAGUUUGUCUUGGAAAGAAAAAAAAGAUAGAGAAAAAAAAGAGAAAAAAGAAAAAGAGAGAGAAGAAAAAGAAAAAAAAGCAUGAGAAAAAAAAAGAGAGAAGAAAAAAAAUUGGAUCUAUCUAGAAUCAAUCUCGUACCUGAAUUCGGAUUGGAAUCUGUUUUGCGCACUGUUCAAUAAAACAGGUGUAUCUUCCUCAUACGAAGUCUGUUUUGGCUCCGUGAGUACUCAAAUUGAAGCUAGCAACGAGCUGCAUCUAAAUAGUUGCAGAAGCUAGUUCAAUAUUUGACACCUCAAAAUCGGCUUCUAAAUAGGUCUUUUUGCCCUCCGAAGUUCAUGAACACAGCUUGUUCCAAUUUUUCAGGCCCGUUUUAGAAUUUUUUUGACUCCUCAUAUCACCUCGGAAUUGAGUGAUUCUUUUUGCAUUGGAAAGCUUGAGUUAGUAGCAUUCUUUGAAAGAAUUUAUCAGAAAAUUGUCUCAAACUUUUCAAGAGGAAAGUUGGAGAGAGAGUUGUUGUAUAUCCUGCUUGGCAGUUGUUUUUCAUCAUUAUCUUCACUGUCGUUGUGAUCUUCAUUUAUAUCUUGCUGUCAAGAGCUACUUAGUAUCCUUCAUUGAUGCUAGUUGUGCUACGCCGUGACCUUAUUAGUGUUCUAGGCUCGCGUCUCUAGUCCGGUCUAGCCUAGGACCAGCACAGUACCAUCGUUGAGCGUUUAUUCAACAUUGCAUCUUUGAAUUGAUUAUUGCUAAUCUUUUGCUACCAUAUAUAGCCAACCCAGCUCCACAUAUUUCUACACCGUGUAUACGUACGCUCCCCUGGCAAUCGCUUUACUCAAUAUUCGGAGUUACUUGACACCGCUGGUUGCCGAUCACCGCCUGCUGCAUGGUAAGAACUUGUAAGACAUUGAUAUUUGCUUUACUGUGAGCGUUUUACCACCACAUCCUAGUAGUUAUAGGAACAUUAUUUUUGGGUUUUGUUUCUUGUUCUACUAAUCAUGACAGGAUCCAGAGUCAAUUCAUGGGCUUUGUCGAUCGCGGGAGACGUGCCACCACCUUUGCAAAUACCACAACCGUCAUGAUGAGGACAUCAAUACAAUUGUUACACCCACAGCCCCUGCUGCUAUACAUACUGGACCAAUUACUAGAGCUCGUGCACGCCAACUAAAUUACCAGGUACUUUCGUUUCUUGGUAAUGAUUCUAAUGUUCAUGAGAAUAUGAUGCUGCCUAAAUUGGAUACAUUUGUUUUGCUUACAAAUGAAGGGCCUAGCUUGGAGAAGGAUGAACAUUGGAGCAAGAACAAGCAUGGAGAUGAUGGCAUGCGCAAGGGAAACAAGAACGGAGUUACAAGUGAUGAUUUCAGGACUUUGAAGCCACCAUAAUGGGUGCAUGAAGCCUUGGACGAAAUAUACAAGACGCCACUUCAUAAAUUUCGUCCCGAAGCUAUUUUAGGUGCUGCGUCACCUUAUUAUUGGGCCAGGCCCAUGUAAUUUCGAAAUACAUAAGUAUAGGCUAUUUUUAGAGUCCGUAUGUGUGGGGAAACAAGAGAUAGGGUUGAUUUCGGACCCCUCCACCAAGGGCCACGAAAUUCCCCCCCUCUUCCUCCAUAUAUACAGCCCUUAGGGCAUCGUUUAGACUUUGGGUUUUGUUUAGAUUAAAAGUUUGCCAUAGCUGCAACUUCGCGUACUUCGUUUGUGUUCAACGACCAGACAAAGGCGUCACAGAACCCCACCUUGAUCAAUAAAGCUUUCAUCUUAUAUUCGCAAUAUCCAGAUUGCAAUCUUAGUUUCUUGCUUGUUCUUCGUUUGCUCGCAGGAAACAGACCCUCGUGGUCAGGUUGAUCGUGCUCCGGCGUGGUCAAUAACCUCUCGGAGUUGGUUUAGCGAUUGCUAAGGCGCGACGUCCUCGCACGUUCGUAGUCGGAUCGUCAAAGUCGACUUCCACCAAAGCGAAAUCCACCAUCUCAUCGAAAGACGGGACACCUUUGCCUCUAUCACUUUUGGGUUAACUAAUGCACCUAGUACUUUCAUGAGAUUAAUGAACGAAGUUUUACGUGCUUUCAUUGGACGAUUUGUGGUAGUUUACUUUGAUGACAUAUUGAUUUAUAGCAGAUCUUUGGAAGAACAUUUGGAACAUUUACGUGCUGUUUUUAUUGCUCUAUGUGAUGCAUGUUUGUUUGGUAACCUUGGGAAGUGCACCUUUUGCACCGACCGAGUAUCUUUUCUUGGCUAUGUUGUUACUCCACAGGGAAUUGAAGUUGAUAAAGCCAAGAUUGAAGCUAUUGAGAGUUGGCCGCAGCCCAAAACGGUCACACAAGUGAGGAGUUUUCUUGGCCUCGCUGGAUUCUAUAGGCGUUUUGUGAGAGAUUUCAGCACCAUUGCGGCACCUCUCAAUGAGCUUACAAAGAAAGAUGUGCCUUUUCUUUGGGGUACCGCACAGGAAGAAGCCUUCACGGUAUUGAAAGAUAAGUUGACACAUGCUCCUUUACUCCAACUUCCUGAUUUUAAUAAGACUUUUGAGCUUGAAUGUGAUGCUAGUGGAAUUGGAUUAGGAGGUGUGUUAUUACAAGAUGGCAAACCUGUUGCAUACUUUUCUGAAAAAUUGAGUGGGCCUAGUCUGAAUUAUUCUACUUAUGAUAAAGAAUUAUAUGCUCUUGUUCGGACUUUAGAAACAUGGCAACAUUAUUUAUGGCCCAAAGAAUUUGUUAUACAUUCUGAUCAUGAAUCUUUGAAACAUAUUAAAAGUCAAGCUAAACUGAAUCGUAGACAUGCUAAAUGGGUUGAAUUCAUUGAGACUUUCCCUUAUGUCAUUAAACACAAGAAGGGAAAAGAAAAUGUUAUUGCUGAUGCAUUGUCUCGUCGCUAUACUAUGCUUUCACAACUUGACUUCAAAAUAUUUGGUUUAGAGACCAUCAAAGAUCAGUAUGUGCAUGAUGCUGAUUUUAAAGAUGUAAUGCAGAAUUGUAAAGAAGGAAGAAUGUGGAACAAGUUUGUCGUUAACGAUGGAUUUGUGUUUCGUGCUAACAAGCUAUGCAUUCCAGCUAGCUCCGUUCGUCUUUUGUUGUUGCAGGAGGCGCAUGGAGGAGGAUUAAUGGGACACUUUGGCGUGAAGAAGACGGAGGACGUACUUGCUACACAUUUCUUUUGGCCAAAGAUGAGACGGGAUGUUGAGCGUUUUAUUGCUCGAUGCACUACAUGUCAAAAAGCUAAGUCACGACUCAAUCCUCAUGGUUUAUAUAUGCCUUUGCCUGUACCUAGUGUUCCUUGGGAGGAUAUAUCUAUGGACUUUGUUUUAGGUUUACCUCGAACAAAGAAGGGGAGGGAUAGCAUAUUUGUUGUCGUGGAUAGAUUCUCAAAAAUGGCACACUUUAUACCAUGUCAUAAAAGCGAUGAUGCUGUUAAUGUUGCUGAUUUGUUCUUUCGUGAAAUUAUUCGCUUGCAUGGUGUGCCAAAUACUAUUGUUUCAGAUCGUGAUACUAAAUUUCUUAGCCAUUUUUGGAGAUGUUUAUGGGCUAAGUUGGGGACUAAACUGCUUUUUAGUACAACUUGUCACCCCCAAACUGAUGGACAAACUGAAGUAGUCAAUAGAACGUUGUCUACUAUGCUUAGGGCUGUUUUGAAGAAUAAUAAGAAAAUGUGGGAGGAAUGCUUGCCUCAUAUUGAAUUUGCUUAUAAUCGUUCAUUGCAUUCUACUACUAAGAUGUGCCCUUUUGAAGUUGUGUAUGGUUUCCUACCUCGUGCACCUAUUGAUUUGUUGCCUCUUCCAACUUCGGAGAAGGUUAAUUUUGAUGCUAAACAACGUGCUGAAUUGAUUUUAAAAAUGCAUGAGUUAACUAAGGAAAACAUUGAGCGCAUGAAUGCUAAAUAUAAACUUGCUGGAGAUAAGGGUAGAAAACAUGUUGUGUUUGCACCUGGAGAUCUUGUUUGGUUACAUUUGCGUAAGGAUAGAUUUCCUGAUUUGCGCAAAUCAAAGUUAAUGCCACGUGCUGAUGGUCCCUUUAAGGUGUUAGAGAAAAUAAAUGAUAAUGCAUAUAAACUUGAGCUGCCUGCAAAUUUUGGGGUUAGUCCCACUUUUAACAUUGCAGAUUUGAAGCCUUAUUUGGGUGAGGAAGAUGAACUUCCGUCGAGGACGACUUCAUUUCAAGAAGGGGAGGAUGAUGAGGACAUCAAUACAAUUGUUACACCCACAGCCCCUGCUGCUAUACAUACUGGACCAAUUACUAGAGCUCAUGCACGCCAACUAAAUUACCAGGUACUUUCGUUUCUUGGUAAUGAUUCUAAUGUUCAUGAGAAUAUGAUGCUGCCUAAAUUGGAUACAUUUGUUUUGCUUACAAAUGAAGGGCCUAGCUUGGAGAAGGAUGAACAUUGGAGCAAGAACAAGCAUGGAGAUGAUGGCAUGCGCAAGGGAAACAAGAACGGAGUUACAAGUGAUGAUUUCAGGACUUUGAAGCCACCAUAAUGGGUGCAUGAAGCCUUGGACGAAAUAUACAAGACGCCACUUCAUAAAUUUCGUCCCGAGGCUAUUUUAGGUGCUGCGUCACCUUAUUAUUGGGCCAGGCCCAUGUAAUUUCGAAAUACAUAAGUAUAGGCUAUUUUUAGAGUCCGUAUGUGUGGGGAAACAAGAGAUAGGGUUGAUUUCGGACCCCUCCACCAAGGGCCACGAAAUUUCCCCCCUCUUCCUCCAUAUAUACAGCCCUUAGGGCAUCGUUUAGACUUUGGGUUUUGUUUAGAUUAAAAGUUCGCCAUAGCUGCAACUUCACGUACUUCGUUUGUGUUCAACGACCAGACCAAGGCGUCACAGAACCCCACCUUGAUCAAUAAAGCUUUCAUCUUAUAUUCGCAAUAUCCAGAUUGCAAUCUUAGUUUCUUGCUUGUUCUUCGUUUGCUCGCAGGAAACAGACCUUCGUGGUCAGGUUGAUCGUGCUCCGGCGUGGUCAAUAACCUCUCGGAGUUGGUUUAGCGAUUGCUAAGGCGCGACGUCCUCGCACGUUCGUAGUCGGAUCGUCAAAGCCGACUUCCACCAAAGCAAAAUCCACCAUCUCAUCGAAAGACGGGACACCUUUGCCUCUAUCAAUUUUAGUAUCUCUACAUAUGCUGAUUAUGUUGAUUGUGAUGUGGUACCUAUGCAAGCAUGUUCCUUAUUACUUGGUAGACCAUGGCAAUUUGAUAAAAAUUCUGUACACCAUGGUAGAAACAAUCACUAUACUCUUGUUCAUAAGGAUAAAAAUAUUACUUUGCUUCCUAUGACUCCUGAUUCCAUUUUGAAAGAUGAUAUUAAUAGAGCUAAUAAAGCAAAACAGGAGACGAAUAAGAGUGAAAAUCAGAUUGUGGCAAAAGAAUUUGAGCAACAAAUGAAGCCUAAUAAUAAACCAUCUAGUGUUGCUUCUGAAAUUAAAUUGAAAAGUGCAUGUUUAUUUGCCACCAAAUCUGAUAUUGAUGAGCUAGAUUUCAGCAAAUCUGUUUGCUAUGCUUUUGUGUGCAAAGAGGCAUUAUUUUCAUUCGAGGACGUGCCUUCCUCUUUGCCUCCUGCUGUCACUAACAUUUUGCAGGAGUUCGCUGACGUCUUUCCACAAGACGUGCCACCGGGAUUACCGCCUAUUCGAGGGAUUGAGCAUCAGAUCGACUUAAUUCCCGGUGCUUCACUGCCAAACCAUGCACCAUACCGUACCAAUCCAGAGGAGACGAAGGAGAUUAUGCGUCAAGUACAAGAGCUUCUCGACAAAGGUUAUAUACGCGAAUCCCUUAGUCCUUGUGUUGUUCCUAUUAUUCUAGUGCCGAAAAAGGAUGGUACAUCACGUAUGUGUGUUGAUUGUAGAGGCAUUAAUAAUAUUACUAUUCGUUAUCGUCAUCCUAUUCCUAGGCUAGAUGAUAUGCUUGAUGAAUUGAGUGGCUCUACAAUAUUCUCCAAAGUUGAUUUGCGUAGUGGAUACCAUCAAAUUCGUAUGAAAUUGGGAGAUGAAUGGAAAACAGCAUUCAAAACUAAGUUUGGAUUAUAUGAGUGGUUAGUCAUGCCUUUUGGGUUAACUAAUGCACCUAGUACUUUCAUGAGAUUAAUGAACGAAGUUUUACGUGCUUUCAUUGGACGAUUUGUGGUAGUUUACUUUGAUGACAUAUUGAUUUAUAGCAGAUCUUUGGAAGAAUAUUUGGAACAUUUACGUGCUGUUUUUAUUCCUCUACGUGAUGCACGUUUGUUUGGUAACCUUGGGAAGUGCACCUUUUGCACCGACCGAGUAUCUUUUCUUGGCUAUGUUGUUACUCCACAGGGAAUUGAAGUUGAUAAAGCCAAGAUUGAAUAAUAGAGGCAAAGGUGUCCCGUCUUUCGAUGAGAUGGUGGAUUUCGCUUUGGUGGAAGUCGACUUUGACGAUCCGACUACGAACGUGCGAGGACGUCGCGCCUUAGCAAUCGCUAAACCAACUCCGAGAGGUUAUUGACCACGCCGGAGCACGAUCAACCUGACCACGAGGGUCUGUUUCCUGCGAGCAAACGAAGAACAAACAAGAAACUAAGAUUGCAUUCUGGAUAUUGCGAAUAUAAGAUGAAAGCUUUAUUGAUCAAGGUGGGGUUCUGUGACGCCUUUGUCUGGUCGUUGAACACAAACGAAGUACGCGAAGUUGCAGCUAUGGCGAACUUUUAAUCUAAACAAAACCCAAAGUCUAAACGAUGCCCUAAGGGCUGUAUAUAUGGAGGAAGAGGGGGGGGAAUUUCGUGGCCCUUGGUGGAGGGGUCCGAAAUCAACCCUAUCUCUUGUUUCCCCACACAUACGGACUCUAAAAAUAGCCUAUACUUAUGUAUUUCGAAAUUACAUGGGCCUGGCCCAAUAAUAAGGUGACGCAGCACCUAAAAUAGCCUCGGGACGAAAUUUAUGAAGUGGCAUCUUGUAUAUUUCGUCCAAGGCUUCAUGCACCCAUUAUGGUGGCUUCAAAGUCCUGAAAUCAUCACUUGUAACUCCGUUCUUGUUCCCCUUGCGCAUGCCAUCAUCUCCAUGCUUGUUCUUGCUCCAAUGUUCAUCCUUCUCCAAGCUAGGCCCUUCAUUUGUAAGCAAAACAAAUGUAUCCAAUUUAGGCAGCAUCAUAUUCUCAUGAACAUUAGAAUCAUUACCAAGAAACAAAAGUACCUGGUAAUUUAGUUGGCGUGCACGAGCUCUAGUAAUUGGUCCAGUAUGUAUAGCAGCAGGGGCUGUGGGUGUAACAAUUGUAUUGAUGUCCUCAGAGGAGUGAAUUCACCUUGUGUCCAAUGGCGUAUGUUCGAGGUCUCGUCAUAUUGACUACUUCAGUUUGUCCAUCAGUUUGGGGGUGACAAGUAGUACUAAAAAGCAGUUUAGUCCCCAACUUAGCCCAUAAACAUCUCCAAAAGUGGCUAAGAAAUUUAGUAUCACGAUCUGAAACAAUAGUAUUUGGCACACCAUGCAAGCGAAUAAUUUCACGAAAGAACAAAUCAGCAACAUUAACAGCAUCAUCGCUUUUAUGACAUGGUAUAAAGUGUGCCAUUUUCGAGAAUCUAUCCACGACAACAAAUAUGCUAUCCCUCCCCUUCUUUGUUCGAGGUAAACCUAAAACAAAGUCCAUAGAUAUAUCCUCCCAAGGAACACUAGGUACAGGCAAAGGCAUAUAUAAACCAUGAGGAUUGAGUCGUGACUUAGCUUUUUGACAUGUAGUGCAGCGAGCAAUAAAACGCUCAACAUCCCGUCUCAUCUUUGGCCAAAAGAAAUGUGUAGCAAGUACGUCCUCCGUCUUCUUCACGCCAAAGUGUCCCAUUAAUCCUCCUCCAUGCGCCUCCUGCAACAACAAAAGACGAACGGAGCUAGCUGGAAUGCAUAGCUUGUUAGCACAAAACACAAAUCCAUCAUUAACGACGAACUUGUUCCACAUUCUUCCUUCUUUACAAUUCUGCAUUACAUCUUUAAAAUCAGCAUCAUGCACAUAUUGAUCUUUGAUGGUCUCCAAACCAAAUAUUUUGAAGUCAAGUUGUGAAAGCAUAGUAUAGCGGCGAGACAAUGCAUCAGCAAUAACAUUUUCUUUUCCCUUCUUGUGUUUAAUGACAUAAGGAAAAGUCUCAAUGAAUUCAACCCAUUUAGCAUGUCUACGAUUCAGUUUAGCUUGACUUUUAAUAUGUUUCAAUGAUUCAUGAUCAGAAUGUAUAACAAAUUCUUUGGGCCAUAAAUAAUGUUGCCAUGUUUCUAAAGUCCGAACAAGAGCAUAUAAUUCUUUAUCAUAAGUAGAAUAAUUCAGACUAGGCCCACUCAAUUUUUCAGAAAAGUAUGCAACAGGUUUGCCAUCUUGUAAUAACACACACCCUAAUCCAAUUCCACUAGCAUCACAUUCAAGCUCAAAAGUCUUAUUAAAAUCAGGAAGUUGGAGUAAAGGAGCAUGUGUCAACUUAUCUUUCAAUACCGUGAAGGCUUCUUCCUGUGCGGUACCCCAAAGAAAAGGCACAUCUUUCUUUGUAAGCUCAUUGAGAGGUGCAGCAAUGGUGCUGAAAUCUCUCACAAAACGCCUAUAGAAUCCAGCGAGGCCAAGAAAACUCCUCACUUGUGUGACCGUUUUGGGCUGCGGCCAACUCUCAAUAGCUUCAAUCUUGGCUUUAUCAACUUCAAUUCCCUGUGGAGUAACAACAUAGCCAAGAAAAGAUACUCGGUCGGUGCAAAAGGUGCACUUCCCAAGAUUACCAAACAAACGUGCAUCACGUAGACCAAUAAAAACAGCACGUAAAUGUUCCAAAUGUUCUUCCAAAGAUCUGCUAUAAAUCAAUAUGUCAUCAAAGUAAACUACCACAAAUCGUCCAAUGAAAGCACGUAAAACUUCGUUCAUUAGUCUCAUGAAAGUACUAGGCGCAUUAGUUAACCCAAAAGGCAUGACUAACCACUCAUAUAAUCCAAACUUAGUUUUGAAUGCUGUUUUCCAUUCAUCUCCCAAUUUCAUACGAAUUUGAUGGUAGCCACUACGUAAAUCAACUUUGGAGAAUAUUGUAGAGCCACUCAAUUCAUCAAGCAUAUCAUCUAGCCUAGGAAUAGGAUGACGAUAACGAAUAGUAAUAUUAUUAAUGCCUCUACAAUCAACACACAUACGUGAUGUACCAUCCUUUUUCGGCACUAGAAUAAUAGGAACAGCACAAGGACUAAGGGAUUCUCGUAUAUAACCUUUGUCGAGAAGCUCUUGUACUUGACGCAUAAUCUCCUUCGUCUCCUCUGGAUUGGUACGGUAUGGUGCACGGUUUGGCAGUGAAGCACCGGGAAUUAAGUCAAUCUGAUGCUCAAUCCCUCGAAUAGGCGGUAAUCCCGGUGGCACGUCUUGUGGAAAGACGUCUGCGAACUCCUGCAAAAUGUUAGUGACAGCAGGAGGCAAAGAGGAAGGCACGUCCUUGAAUGAAAAUAAUGCCUCUUUGCACACAAAAGCAUAGCAAACAGAUUUGCUGAAAUCUAGCUCAUCAAUAUCAGAUUUGGUGGCAAAUAAACAUGCACUUUUCAAUUUAAUUUCAGAAGCAACACUAGAUGGUUUAUUAUUAGGCUUCAUUUCCUGCUCAAAUUCUUUUGCCACAAUCUGAUUUUCACUCUUAUUCGUCUCCUGUUUUGCUUUAUUAGCUCUAUUAAUAUCAUCUUUCAAAAUGGAAUCAGGAGUCAUAGGAAGCAAAGUAAUAUUUUUAUCCUUAUGAACAAGAGUAUAGUGAUUGUUUCUACCAUGGUGUACAGAAUUUUUAUCAAAUUGCCAUGGUCUACCAAGUAAUAAGGAACAUGCUUGCAUAGGUACCACAUCACAAUCAACAUAAUCAGCAUAUGUAGAGAUACUAAAAUGCACACGAACAGUACGUGUUACCUUAACCUUGCCGCUGUUGUUGAACCAUUGGAUGUAGUAAGGAUGUGGAUGUGGUCUUGUGGUGAGAGAAAGCUUCUCCACCAUCUCCAUGCUAGCCAAGUUGUUGCAGCUCCCUCCGUCUAUGAUGACGCGCACAGAACGUUCCUUCACAACUCCCUUGGUAUGGAACAAAUUGUGCCUCUGAUUUUGCUCAGCUUGUGUGAUCUGCACACUCAAAACACGUUGAGCAACUAAACAUUCAUACCUGUCAGCGUCUUCAGGAGCCAUGUAUUGCGUCUCAUGAUCAGAAUCAUCUCCACCAUGUUCUUCACGUGUAAUAAGAGCCAAAGUCUGAUGAGGACAUCAAUACAAUUGUUACACCCACAGCCCCUGCUGCUAUACAUACUGGACCAAUUACUAGAGCUCGUGCACGCCAACUAAAUUACCAGGUACUUUCGUUUCUUGGUAAUGAUUCUAAUAUUCAUGAGAAUAUGAUGCUGCCUAAAUUGGAUACAUUUGUUUUGCUUACAAAUGAAGGGCCUAGCUUGGAGAAGGAUGAACAUUGGAGCAAGAACAAGCAUGGAGAUGAUGGCAUGCGCAAGGGGAACAAGAACGGAGUUACAAGUGAUGAUUUCAGGACUUUGAAGCCACCAUAAUGGGUGCAUGAAGCCUUGGACGAAAUAUACAAGAUGCCACUUCAUAAAUUUCGUCCCGAGGCUAUUUUAGGUGCUGCGUCACCUUAUUAUUGGGCCAGGCCCAUGUAAUUUCGAAAUACAUAAGUAUAGGCUACUUUUAGAGUCCGUAUGUGUGGGGAAACAAGAGAUAGGGUUGAUUUCGGACCCCUCCACCAAGGGCCACGAAAUUCCCCCCCUCUUCCUCCAUAUAUACAGCCCUUAGGGCAUCGUUUAGACUUUGGGUUUUGUUUAGAUUAAAAGUUCGCCAUAGCUGCAACUUCGCGUACUUCGUUUGUGUUCAACGACCAGACAAAGGCGUCACAGAACCCCACCUUGAUCAAUAAAGCUUUCAUCUUAUAUUCGCAAUAUCCAGAUUGCAAUCUUAGUUUCUUGCUUGUUCUUCGUUUGCUCGCAGGAAACAGACCUUCGUGGUCAGGUUGAUCGUGCUCCGGCGUGGUCAAUAACCUCUCGGAGUUGGUUUAGCGAUUGCUAAGGCGCGACGUCCUCGCACGUUCGUAGUCGGAUCGUCAAAGUCGACUUCCACCAAAGCGAAAUCCACCAUCUCAUCGAAAGACGGGACACCUUUGCCUCUAUCACGUCACGAGAGGUGCACAAACAUCCAAAUGCACAUGAUCAGGUUAAUGUAUCUAUACCACCAUUUAAUGGCCGUUUUAAACCUGCUUUAUAUAUUGAAUGGGAGUUCGACAUAAAAAAUAUAUUUGCUUCCCAUAAUUUCAAUGAACAUAAAAAGGUUAAGGUUGCGGUUGGUUCUUUCACUGGUUAUGCUUUGGUUUGGUGGAGUGAAUAUUGUCGGUUACACCCUGAUUAUAUACCUACUACUUGGGAUGAUUUGAAACUUGCCAUGCGACAUACUUGCGUCCCUGCUUAUUAUACUCGUGACAUGAUUAAGAAGUUGCAACACUUAAAACAAGGUAGUGAAACUGUAACAAAAUAUUAUGAUGAUUUACAAACUACCUUGUUGCAUUCCUCUUUAGAAGAAAGUGAAGAUGAUUUUAUGGAUAGAUUUUGGGGAGGAUUAAACCGUGAUAUUCAAGAGAUACUAAUUCAUGAAGAGUGUUAUCCUAUGGACCAUUUGUUUCGUCUUGCUUGCAAAGCUGAACAGGAAAUAAAACGACGUGUUGGCCACGAGGAGAACAAGCGCACGGUGCACAUUCCAAGAGUUGAUAUGAUUGUUCCUUCAACUACUAGGCAUACUAUGACAACCACAUCCGUUGUUGUCAGGACUACAUCACCUCCACCAUGUGACACAUCGCCCCCGAGAGUGGCUACAUCAUCUGAGUUGAUCAUAAGAGGUAAUGACAAAGGUACUGAUCUUCCAUCUCUACAUGAGAAUGAUGAAUGCCUUGUCAAUUUGAAUGCACCAUCUGAUGAGCUACCCACUACUUUGAUCACACCACCUAUUUUAGAGGACUACGUUGAUAAUUUGACUUUGCCAUGUGAUCAAACAACUGAAAUACCAACAAUUUUGAGUGCACCCAUUGAAUUAACUAUUGAUGCAAAAGAACCAAUGUUUAAUCAUUUUGAUAUGACCUCUAAUCUUGGUGAUGAUUCUGUGUUGAAUAACUUAUUGCAUGUUUGCUUAUUUAAGCAUGUUGUAGCAUGUAAAUCUGAUGCAAGUACGGUUUAUUCACCAAUGUUGGGAUGGUUUAAUGAUGAACAUUGUCAAUCUUUUGAAAUGAAUAAGAGCUUCACUUAUAUGUGCAAACUGAGUUGCAAUAUUUUCAUGCCUUCUACUUCUUGUGCUAAUUUUUUGGCUUUAGAUUUUAUGAACUAUGCAAGUUACUCAUCUAUUCAAGUUUCAUAUAUGCAAAAAUCAAGGGAAGUAAAAAUGGAUGACAUAUACAUAUACAACAUGUACACCUUGUCUCUUUUGUUAGCCACAUUUCAGAUUAAGCAACGCCGAGGACGGCUUUAUUUUCAAGAAGGGGAGGAUGAUGAGGACAUGACUACCUUGGAUAUGACCAAAAAUAUUGCAUAUAUGCAUAUUUGUCAGGUGAUUUCUAGUGCAAACUAUUCAAUAAUCUAUUUAUGUUAUCCAGAACAAAAAUACUUCACACACUUUUGUGUUUUGUCUAAUUGCAGGUGUAUGGGACAUUUGUACAAUCCACAUAUGAAGAUAAGGAAGAAAGAGAUGUUUAUUUGCUGUCCAAAAAGUUCUCUCACGUCACUUUUGGCCCAAGAGAAGAUAGAGUCCAAGUCUCUCACGUUCUGGAUUCAGAUUCGGACUGCACAGACACACCUGACUCAAAACGCACACAAGUUUUUCAUACGGACUCCGAAUUGGGUGAUUCUUUUUUGUUGGAAACUAGAUUUCGUGCACUUUCCAACCCAAUUGGAAUCACCUUCAAAUUCGUCCGGAGCGUUGAGUUGUGGACGAAACAAUCUGAUGCUGCAGCAGAAUCCGAGUCAAACUACAAGUCCAAAGGUGUUACAUCACCUCCACUUGGGCCCAUUGGUCUUGUACGACCUAGAUUUAGUUUUAGGCUGCCUUGGGACGUCCUCCCACCUCCUUGGCCGCCACCCCUUGCUCCUAUAUAAGUAGAUCCAUCUAGUAGCUUUUCCUUGGGAUUUGUUUAGUUAAAAGUUAGCCAUUGCAACUUCGUGUACUUCGUUUGUGUCCAACGACCAGACCAAGACCGCUUACGGAUCCCCACCUUUAUCAAUACUUCAUAUAUACUCGCAAUAUUUAGAUUGCUUUUAUCAUAUUCUUGCUUGUUCUUCGAUUGCUUGCAGGAAUAGACCUUCGUGGUCAGGUUGAUUGUGCUCCGGCGUGGUCAAUAACCUCUCGGAGUUGGUUUAGCGAUUGCUAAGGCGCAACAUCGUGCAUGUUUGUAGUCGGAUCGUCAAAGUCGUCUCCACCAAAUCGAUAGUUAUCAUCUCAUCGAAAGAUCGGGACACCCCCGCCUCUAUCAUGUACAAUCCACAUAUGAAGAUAAGGAAGAAAGAGAUGUUUAUUUGCUGUCCAAAAAGUUCUCUCACGUCACUUUUGGCCCAAGAGAAGAUAGAGUCCAAGUCUCUCACGUUCUGGAUUCAGAUUCGGACUGCACAGACAUACCUGACUCAAAACGCACACAAGUUUUUCAUACGGACUCCGAAUUGGGUGAUUCUUUUUUUGUUGGAAACUAGAUUUCGUGCACUUUCCAACCCAAUUGGAAUCACCUUCAAAUUCGUCCGGAGCGUUGAGUUGUGGACGAAACAAUCUGAUGCUGCAGCAGAAUCCGAGUCAAACUACAAGUCCAAAGGUGUUACAUCACCUCCACUUGGGCCCAUUGGCCUUGUACGACCUAGAUUUAGUUUUAGGCUGCCUUGGGACGUCCUCCCACCUCCUUGGCCGCCACCCCUUGCUCCUAUAUAAGUAGAUCCAUCUAGUAGCUUUUCCUUGGGAUUUGUUUAGUUAAAAGUUAGCCAUUGCAACUUCGUGUACUUCGUUUGUGUCCAACGACCAGACCAAGACCGCUUACGGAUCCCCAUCAUUAUCAAUACCUCAUAUAUAUUUGCAAUAUUCAGAUUGCUUUAUCAUAUUCUUUGCUCGUUCUUCGAUUGCUUGCAGGAAUAGACUUUUGUGGUCAGGCUGACCGUGCUUACGGCAUCGUCAGUAACCUCAGGAGAUUGGUUUAGCGAUUGCUAAGGUGCAACCUCGUGCACGUUUGUAGUCGGAUCGUCAAAGUCGUCUCCACGAAAUCGAUAGUUAUCAUCUCAUCGAAAGAUCGGGACACCCCCGCCUAUAUCAAAGAAUAUGAUAAAGCAAUCUGAAUAUUGCAAAUAAAUAUGAAGUAUUGAUAAUGGUGGGGAUCCGGAAGCGGUCUUGGUCUGGUCGUUGGACACAAACGAAGUACACGAAGUUGCAAUGGAUAACUUUUAACUAAACAAAUCCCAAGGAAAAAGCUACUAGAUGGAUCUACUUAUAUAGGAGCAAGGGGUGGCGGCCAAGGAGGUGGGAGGACGUCCCAAGGCAGCCUAAAACUAACCCUAGGUCAUACAAGGCUCAUGGGCCCAAGUGGAGGUGAUGCAACACCUUUGGUCUUGUAGUUUGACUCGGAUUCUGCUGCAACGUCAGAUUGUUUCGUCCGUAACUCAACGCUCCGGACGAAUUUGAAGGUGAAUCCAAUUGGGUUGGAAAGAGCACGAAAUCUAGUUUCCAACAAAAAAAGAAUCACCCAAUUCGGAGUCCGUAUGAAAAAUUUGUUGGCGUUUUGAGUCAGGUAUGUCUGUGCAGUCCGAAUCUGAAUCCAGAACGUGAGAGACUUGGACUCUAUCUUUUCUUGGCCCAAAAGUGACGUGAGAGGACUUUUUGAACACAACCUAAACUUCUUCUUUUCCCUUAUCUUCAUAUGUGGAUUGUACAAAUGUCCCAUACACCUGCAAUUAGACAAAACACAAAAGUGUGUGAAGUAUUUUUGUUCUGGAUAACAUAAAUAGAUUAUUGAAUAGUUUGCAUUAGAAAUCACCUGACAAAUAUGCAUGUAUGCAAUAUUUUUGGCCGUAUCCAAGGUAUUCAUGUCCUCAUCAUGCUCCCCUUUUUGAAAACAAAGCCGUCCUCGGCGUUGCUUAAUCUGAAAUGUGGCUAACAAAAGAGACAAGGUGUACAUGUUGUAUAUGUAUAUGUCAUCCAGUUUAACUCCCCUUGAUUUUUGCACGUAUGACACAUGUAUACAUGAGUAACUUUCAUAGUUCAUAAAAACUAAAGCCAAAAAAUUAUCACAAGAAGUAGAAGGCAUGAAAAUAUUAGAACUCAGUUUGCACAUAUAAGUGAAGUUCUUAUUCAUUUCAAAAGAUUCACAAUGUUCAUCAUUAAACCAUCCCAACUUUGGUGAAUAAACCUUACUUGCAUCAAAUUUAUAUGCUACAACAUGCUUAAAUAAGCAAACAUGCAAUAAGUCAUUGGACACAGAAUCAUCACCAAGAUUGGAGGCCAUAUCAAAAUGAUUAAACAUUAGUUCUUUUGCAUCAACAGUUAAUUCAAUGGGUGCACUCAAAAUUGUUGAUAUUUCAGUUGUUUGAUCACAUGACGCAUUCAUGACAGUAACAAGAUUCUCUAAAAUAGGUGGUGUGCUCAAAUCAACAGGUAACUCAAUACAUGACGCAUUCAAGUUAACUAGGCAUGCAUCAUUCUCAUGUGAAGUUAUAUCAUCAAUACCUUUACUGUUACCUUGUGACAAAGAUGUAGCUGAUGUAGGUACGGACGUUGACAAUGUACCAUACCCUUGAGAUGAUGUCGCGCUCAUAAUCCGAGGUGUAAUGUUGGAGGAACCCACCGGCGGUGGUGAGCAUGAACUGGAAUAGUAGUUGUUGUAAUCACCUAAUGCAUCCUCCUGUAUCUGUCUCUCAAAGGUACAAGCAUAGACAUACAUACCAGUAAUGCAACGAGGAAUAUACUGAAAUCUUGCCUGAAUAUCAUGGUUCAAACCACCAAAAAAUCUAUUCAUUGUAACAUUUUGAGAUUCUUCUAUGUCACAAUGAUGCAUAUAAGAUUUGAACUCUUGGUAGUAAGCAUGAACAGUGUUGUUGCCUUGUUUAAAUUGUUCAAGUUUGCGAAGCAAUUCACGACGAUAAUGAGGGAAAAAUUGUUGUCUCAUUACAGCUUUCAAAACUUUCCAAGUUGUGGGUUGGUUAUCAAUGUUUUUCUUACAAUGUACACUCCACCAAACAGAAGCAAAACCAGUAAAUGCUCUAAUGGUAGCUCGUACUCUCUCAAGUUCAGAAAAGUCAUGGUGACUAAAAACUUGUUCUACUUCAAGCUCCCAAGCUAGAUAAGUAGUAGGAUUAAAUCUACCCUCAAAUGACGGUAAAAAGAUAACCUGACCAUGUGCUUGUGUGUGUUGUGCCAACUCUCGUGAUGGUGAAGAUGUGUCCGUCAUCCAAGAACUUCUAUCUUCGAAACCUGUCAUGAUUAGUAGAAACAAGAAACAAAAUUCAAGAAUAAUGUUCCUAUGAACUACUAGGGUGUUGUGGUAAAGCGCUCACAGUAAAGCAAAUAUCAAUAUCUUACAAGUUCUUACCAAGCAGCAGGUGGUGACAGGCAACCAGCGGUGUCAAAUAACUCUGAAGAUUGUGUAAAGCGAUUGCCAGGGGAACGUACGUAUACACGGUGUAGAAAUAUGUGGAGCUGGGUUGGCUAUAUAUGGUAGCAAAAGAUUAGCAAUAAUCAAUUCAGAGAUGCGAUGUUGAAUAAACGCUCAACGACGGUACUGUGCUGGUCCUAGGCUAGACUGAACUAGAGACGCGAGCCUAGAACACUAAUGAGGUCACGUCGUAGCACAACUAGCAUCAAUGAAGGAUACUAAGUAGCUCUGGACAGCAAGAUAUAAGUGAAGAUCACAACGGCAGUAAAGAUAAUGAUGUGAAACAACAGCCAAGCAGGAUAUAUCAACAACUUUGUCUCCAACUUUCCUCUGAAAAAGUUUGUGCCGAUUUUUUUGUUUUUUUUUCUCUCUUUUUUUUCCUCACACUUUUUUUUCUUUCUCUCCUUUUUUUUCUCUGACUUUUUUUUCUCCUUUUUUUUCUCUCGUUUUUUUCUCUCUUUUUUUCUCCCUCUUUCCAAAACAAACUAGAUAAGAUGCAGAUUGGAUCAAGUGAAGAUGUGAACGAUCUCAACUAUUAUUAUGACAUUGAAUGGUGGGUAGCACGUGGUGGAAAUUGAUGGAUGGGUGGUGGACAGCGGAAGAGAUAAUGAUGUAGCGGUGGCGUGACUAAUGUGAACAGAACUCGAAACUCUAAACGAACUAGACACUAAGACCAGCAACUCGACACGACGAUGCAACCGAUAAUUCAACUAUGCAAGCAAUGAAAAGAAAAUUGCAAAGGCUCAGACUGGCUUGGACCAAGGAUGAAUAGAUCUAACUCUUUUUUGUGGCUUUUUCUUGGACAAUAGGUAAGAAAAUAAAUCUAAUCUAGGAAAACUGGAAAUUCUCACCGAGCAACCUGAAAACUGAUACCACUUGAUAGAGGCGACGGUCCCGAUCUUUCGAUGAGAUGAUAACUAUCGAUUUGGUGGAGACGACUUUGAUGAUCCGACUACAAACGUGCACGACGUUGCGCCUUAGCAAUCGCUAAACCAAUCUCCCGAGGUUACUGACGAUUCUGGAAGCACGGUCAGCCUGACCACGAAGGUCUAUUCCUGCAAGCAAUCGAAGAACGAGCAAGAAUAUGAUAAAGCAAUCUGAAUAUUGCAAAUAAAUAUGAAGUAUUGAUAAUGGUGGGGAUUCGGAAGCGGUCUUGGUCUGGUCGUUGGACACAAACGAAGUACACGAAGUUGCAAUGGCUAACUUUUAACUAAACAAAUCCCAAGGAAAAAGCUACUAGAUGGAUCUACUUAUAUAGGAGCAAGGGGUGGCGGCCAAGGAGGUGGGAGGACGUCCCAAGGCAGCCUAAAACUAACCCUAGGUCGUACAAGGCUCAUGGGUCCAAGUGGAGGUGAUGCAACACCUUUGGGCUUGUAGUUUGACUCGGAUUCUGCUGCAAUGUUAGAUUGUUUCGUCCGUAACUCAACGCUUCGGACGAAUUUGAAGGUGAAUCCAAUUGGGCUGGAAAGAGCACGAAAUGUAGUUUUCAACAAAAAAAGAAUCACCCAAUUCGGAGUCCGUAUGAAAAAUUGUUGGCGUUUUGAGUCAGGUAUGUAUGUGCAGUCCGAAUCUGAAUCCAGAACGUGAGAGAGUUGGACUCUAUCUUUUGAGGCAAAGGUGUCCCGUCUUUCGAUGAGAUGAUGGAUAUCGCUUUGGUGGCAGUCGACUUUGAUGAUCCGACUACAAACGUGCACGACGUUGCGCCUUAGCAAUCGCUAAACCAAUCUCCUGAGGUUACUGACGAUGCUGGAAGCAUGGUCAGCCUGACCACGAAGGUCUAUUCCUGCAAGCAAUCGAAGAACGAGCAAGAAUAUGAUAAAGCAAUCUGAAUAUUGCAAAUAAAUAUGAAGUAUUGAUAAUGGUGGGGAUCCGGAAGCGGUCUUGGUCUGGUCGUUGGACACAAACGAAGUACACGAAGUUGCAAUGGCUAACUUUUAACUAAACAAAUCCCAAGGAAAAAGCUACUAGAUGGAUCUACUUAUAUAGGAGCAAGGGGUGGCGGCCAAGGAGGUGGGAGGACGUCCCAAGGCAGCCUAAAACUAACCCUAGGUCGUACAAGGCUCAUGGGCCCAAGUGGAGGUGAUGCAACACCUUUGGGCUUGUAGUUUGACUCGGAUUCUGCUGCAACAUCAGAUUGUUUCGUCCGUAACUCAACGCUCCGGACGAAUUUGAAGGUGAAUCCAAUUGGGUUGGAAAGAGCACGAAAUCUAGUUUCCAACAAAAAAGAAUCACCCAAUUCGGAGUCCGUAUGAAAAAGUUGUUGGCGUUUUGAGUCAGGUAUGUAUGUGCAGUCCGAAUCUGAAUCCAGAACGUGAGAGACUUGGACUCUAUCUUCUCUUGGCCCAAAAAUAACGUGAGAGAGAUAGAGGCAAAGGUGUCCCGUCUUUCGAUUAGAUGAUGGAUAUCGCUUUGGUGGAAGUCUACUUUGACGAUCCGACUACGAACGUGCGAGGACGUCGCGCCUUAGCAAUCGUUAAACCAAUCUCCUGAGGUUACUGACGAUGCUGGAAGCACGGUCAGCCUGACCACGAAGUUCUAUUCCUGCAAGUAAUCGAAGAACGAGCAAGAAUAUUGAUGAGGACAUCAAUACAAUUGUUACACCCACAGCCCCUGCUGCUAUACAUACUGGACCAAUUACUAGAGCUCGUGCACGCCAACUAAAUUACCAGGUACUUUCGUUUCUUGGUAAUGAUUCUAAUGUUCAUGAGAAUAUGAUGCUGCCUAAAUUGGAUACAUUUGUUUUGCUUACAAAUGAAGGGCCUAGCUUGGAGAAGGAUGAACAUUGGAGCAAGAACAAGCAUGGAGAUGAUGGCAUGCGCAAGGGGAACAAGAACGGAGUUACAAGUGAUGAUUUCAGGACUUUGAAGCCAUCAUAAUGGGUGCAUGAAGCCUUGGACGAAAUAUACAAGAUGCCACUUCAUAAAUUUCGUCCCGAGGCUAUUUUAGGUGCUGCGUCACCUUAUUAUUGGGCCAGGCCCAUGUAAUUUCGAAAUACAUAAGUAUAGGCUAUUUUUAGAGUCCGUAUGUGUGGGGAAACAAGAGAUAGGGUUGAUUUCGGACCCCUCCACCAAGGGCCACGAAAUUCCCCCCCUCUUCCUCCAUAUAUACAGCCCUUAGGGCAUCUUUAGACUUUGGGUUUUGUUUAGAUUAAAAGUUCGCCAUAGUUGCAACUUCGCGUACUUCGUUUGUGUUCAACGACCAGACAAAGGCGUCACAGAACCCCACCUUGAUCAAUAAAGUUUUCAUCUUAUAUUCGCAAUAUCCAGAUUGCAAUCUCAGUUUCUUGCUUGUUCUUCGUUUGCUCGCAGGAAACAGACCCUCGUGGUCAGGUUGAUCGUGCUCCGGCGUGGUCAAUAACCUCUCGGAGUUGGUUUAGCGAUUGCUAAGGCGCGACGUCCUCGCACGUUCGUAGUCGGAUCGUCAAAGUCGACUGCCACCAAAGCGAUAUCCAUCAUCUCAUCGAAAGACGGGACACCUUUGCCUCUAUCAAGUGGUAUCAGAUUUCCAGGUUGCUCGGUGAGAUUUUACAGUUUUUCGUAGUUUAGAUCGAGUCUGUUCUUCAUACCUACAGUCCACGAAAAAGCCACAAAAAAAUUAGGGUUAGUUCAUCAUAUCCGAACCAAUCUGAGCCUUUGCAUAAUCUUUUUAGGGUUUUGCUUUGUUGAAUUUGCGGUUGCAUCGUCGUUUCUAGUUGCUGGUCUUAGAGUCUAGUCUUUUAGAGUUUCGAGUUCUGGUCAUAAGUUGUCACGCCGUCGCCGCACCAUCAUCAUCACCCCUGCCAUCUACCACCACCGCUUAUCCGCCACCGCUUCGAAUCCGUAUCCAUAUACCACCACAGCUGUCAUAUACCACCACCGCUACCAUCUACCACCAUAUAUCCACCACCAAUCCGAGUUCUUGUCAUAUUAGGUUUGUUUUUGAGAUCCAUCUAGAUUCCGAUUCGUGUUUCCUUGCCGGAGUCGGGUAGCCACGCACCGUUUAGGCCCAAAAUUUUUCGAAAACGCAUUUUUCGAAAAAUUUUCUGGCUAUCCUAUUUUUAGGUGUUUCUGAGUGUUAUGAGACAGGUGCCAUUAUAGGAAGUUUUUUUUGACCCGUUUCCAGUUUUUGGGUCCGGGCAGUCGAAAAAAAAAUUCAAAAAAAAAUUUCGUGCCCAUCCUGUCAGUUUGACCUAGGAAGAGUUUUGAGACACUCGCCAUUAUAGUGAUUUUUCGCAAAAAAAAAGAGAGCGAAAAGAAAAUUUUCAGAGUGUGCUUUUCCCUUGUUUACGUGCCGCGCCGUGAUUUUGUUGAUGUUCUAGGCUCGCGUCUCUAGCACAGUCUAGCCUAGGACCAGCACAGUACCGUCGUUGAGCGUUUAUUCAACUUUGCAUCUCUGAAUUGAUUAUUGCUGACCCUUUUUGCUACCAUACUAUAAGCCUUCCCGGCUCCACAUACAUCUACGUCGUGUGUUUGACUCUCCCUGGUAAUCGCUCUAUCCAAGCUUUGAGAGUUUUUGACUACAAUGGUUGCCGAUCACCGCCUGCUGCUGGGUAAGAACUGGUAAGAAUUUGAGAUUUGCUUGACGGAUUUGUGAUACACCACCACCACUUCUUGGUAGUCUGUAGGAUCAUAUUCUUGUGUGUUUCUAUUGCUGCUAACCAUGCCAGGAUCACAAGCCGACGAGAUUGACUGGGAGAACUUAUCGAACAAGGAGCUUCAUGAUAAGUUUCAGCAAAUGAUGACUGAACAGGUACAAGAUGUGCUGAACAAUUUUGAAGAGGCCAUGGAGAAGAUCACUGGCCUUGAGAAGACGUUCGAAACAAAGCUCGAUAACAGAUUUAAUGAACUGCUUGCGCGUCUUCCACCACCAGCUGCACCUGUCGCACCUCUGCAACAACAACAACUACGCCCCCUUCCGAAUCAGUAUGGACGAGCACAGCGUGUUCCUAUUGAGCCAGGACAAACUUCUGGUGCCGCUGCUACUGCUGUUGGUGCUUCUUUGGCUCCUGCUACUGCUGCUGCUGGUACCCAGGAGGAUGAUGAGUAUGCGGGCGAUUAUGAGGAUGAGGUUGAUCAAAAUCAGCACUACGUGCAGCCACCUGCACCACCACCAGCAGGUCGACCUCAGGUAUAUAUUCGUAAUGGUAGGCCUGCACCACCACCUCAGGUACGAGAUGAUGUCCAUAUUCCUAAACUGAAAUUGAAUAUUCCACCAUUUGAGGGUAGAUAUGUUCCUGAUAUAUAUCUUACUUGGGAGUUAGAAACUGAACAACGAUUUACAUGUUUACAAUAUCCUGAGGAGAGACGAGUUGCUGCUGCUGUUUGUGCUUUCACUAGUUUUGCAUGUGUAUGGUGGUCUGAACAUUGUAGAUUAUAUCCUAUUCCAACUACUUGGGCUGCUUUGAAAACUGCGAUGCGUACUCGUUGGGUUCCACCAUAUUAUCAACGUGAAUUGCUUCAAAAAUUACAGCGCUUAAGACAAAGAAAAAAUUCUGUAGAAGAAUAUUAUCAGGAAUUACAAACUGGCAUGAUUAGAUGUGGUAUUGUUGAGGAGAAUGAAGCUAUGCUUGCACGUUUUCUAGGUGGAUUAAAUAGAGAGAUUCAGACCAUUCUAGACUAUAAGGAGUAUACUAAUAUCACUCGUUUAUUCCAUCUUGCUUGUAAAGCUGAACGUGAAGUGCAUGAUCGACAAGCAUUGGCGCGAACUAACUUUUCUGCAGGCCGACCAUCAUCAUGGACACCACGUGCAUCUUCUACUUCAACUGCACCAGCACCUCAAUCCGGUGCCAUCUCCAGCCGUGAUACAAGAAAACAGGCACAACCACCAUUAUCUGCCAAGAGCGCACCUGCGGGGCCUGCACGGCGUUCUUCUUCUUCCAUGGCAUCAACAGGGCACACAAGUGAUAUUAUUUGUCGUCGUUGUAAGGGAGGAGGUCAUUAUGCGAGAGAAUGCAAAUCUCCGCGUGUGAUGAUUGCUACCGCGGAUGGUGGAUAUGAGUCCGCUAGUGACUAUGAUGAGGAGACAUUGGCUCUUAUUACACGUGAAGAACAUGGUGGAGAUGAUUCUGAUCAUGAGACGCAAUACAUGGCUCCUGAAGACGCUGACAGGUAUGAAUGUUUAGUUGCUCAACGUGUUUUGAGUGUGCAGGUCACACAAGCUGAGCAAAAUCAGAGGCACAAUUUGUUCCAUACCAAGAGAGUUGUGAAGGAACGUUCUGUGCGCGUCAUAAUAGACGGAGGGAGCUGCAACAACUUGGCUAGCAUGGAGAUGGUGGAGAAGCUUUCUCUCACCACAAGACCACAUCCACAUCCUUACUACAUCCAAUGGUUCAACAACAGCGGCAAGGUUAAGGUAACACGUACUGUUCGUGUGCAUUUUAGUAUCUCUACAUAUGCUGAUUAUGUUGAUUGUGAUGUGGUACCUAUGCAAGCAUGUUCCUUAUUACUUGGUAGACCAUGGCAAUUUGAUAAAAAUUCUGUACACCAUGGUAGAAACAAUCACUAUACUCUUGUUCAUAAGGAUAAAAAUAUUACUUUGCUUCCUAUGACUCCUGAUUCCAUUUUGAAAGAUGAUAUUAAUAGAGCUAAUAAAGCACAACAGGAGAAGAAUAAGAGUGAAAAUCAGAUUGUGGCAAAAGAAUUUGAGCAACAAAUGAAGCCUAAUAAUAAACCAUCUAGUGUUGCUUCUGAAAUUAAAUUGAAAAGUGCAUGUUUCUUUGCCACCAAAUCUGAUAUUGAUGAGCUAGAUUUCAGCAAAUCUGUUUGCUAUGCUUUUGUGUGCAAAGAUGAUAGAGGCAGAGGUGUCCCGUCUUUCGAUGAGAAGAUGGAUAUCGCUUGGUGGAAGUCGACUUUGACGAUUCGACUACGAACGUGCGAGGACGUCGCGCCUUAGCAAUCGCUAAACCAACUUCGAGAGGUUAUUGACCACGCCGGAGCACGAUCAACCUGACCACGAGGGUCUGUUUCCUGCGAGCAAACGAAGAACAAGCAAGAAACUAAGAUUGCAAUCUGGAUAUUGCGAAUAUAAGAUGAAAGCUUUAUUGAUCAAGGUGGGGUUCUGUGACGCCUUUGUCUGGUCGUUGAACACAAACGAAGUACGCGAAGUUGCAGCUAUGGCGAACUUUUAAUCUAAACAAAACCCAAAGUCUAAACGAUGCCCUAAGGGCUGUAUAUAUGGAGGAAGAGGGGGGGAAUUUCGUGGCCCUUGGUGGAGGGGUCCGAAAUCAACCCUAUCUCUUGUUUCCCCACACAUACGGACUCUAAAAAUAGCCUAUACUUAUGUAUUUCGAAAUUACAUGGGCCUGGCCCAAUAAUAAGGUAACGCAGCACCUAAAAUAGCCUCGGGACGAAAUUUAUGAAGUGGCGUCUUGUAUAUUUCGUCCAAGGCUUCAUGCACCCAUUAUGGUGGCUUCAACGUCCUGAAAUCAUCACUUGUAACUCCGUUCUUGUUUCCCUUGCGCAUGCCAUCAUCUCCAUGCUUGUUCUUGCUCCAAUGUUCAUCCUUCUCCAAGCUAGGCCCUUCAUUUGUAAGCAAAACAAAUGUAUCCAAUUUAGGCAGCAUCAUAUUCUCAUGAACAUUAGAAUCAUUACCAAGAAACGAAAGUACCUGGUAAUUUAGUUGGCGUGCACGAGCUCUAGUAAUUGGUCCAGUAUGUAUAGCAGCAGGGGCUGUGGGUGUAACAAUUGUAUUGAUGUCCUCAUCAUACUCCCCUUCUUGAAAUGAAGUCGUCCUCGACGGAAGUUCAUCUUCCUCACCCAAAUAAGGCUUCAAAUCUGCAAUGUUAAAAGUGGGACUAACCCCAAAAUCUGCAGGCAGCUCAAGUUUAUAUGCAUUAUCAUUUAUUUUCUCUAACACCUUAAAGGGACCAUCAGCACGUGGCAUUAACUUUGAUUUGCGCAAAUCAGGAAAUCUAUCCUUACGCAAAUGUAACCAAACAAGAUCUCCAGGUGCAAACACAACAUGUUUUCUACCCUUAUCUCCAGCAAGUUUAUAUUUAGCAUUCAUGCGCUCAAUGUUUUCCUUAGUUAACUCAUGCAUUUUUAAAAUCAAUUCAGCACGUUGUUUAGCAUCAAAAUUAACCUUCUCCGAAGAUGGAAGAGGCAACAAAUCAAUAGGUGCACGAGGUAGGAAACCAUACACAACUUCAAAAGGGCACAUCUUAGUAGUAGAAUGCAAUGAACGAAAGCAAAUUCAAUAUGAGGCAAGCAUUCCUCCCACAUUUUCUUAUUAUUCUUCAAAACAGCCCUAAGCAUAGUAGACAACGUUCUAUUGACUACUUCAGUUUGUCCAUCAGUUUGGGGGUGACAAGUAGUACUAAAAAGUAGUUUAGUCCCCAACUUAGCCCAUAAAAAUCUCCAAAAGUGGCUAAGAAAUUUAGUAUCACGAUCUGAAACAAUAGUAUUUGGCACACCAUGCAAGCGAAUAAUUUCACGAAAGAACAAAUCAGCAACAUUAACAGCAUCAUCACUUUUAUGACAUGGUAUAAAGUGUGCCAUUUUCGAGAAUCUAUCCACGACAACAAAUAUGCUAUCCCUCCCCUUCUUUGUUCGAGGUAAACCUAAAACAAAGUCCAUAGAUAUAUCCUCCCAAGGAACACUAGGUACAGGCAAAGGCAUAUAUAAACCAUGAGGAUUGAGUCGUGACUUAGCUUUUUGACAUGUAGUGCAGCGAGCAAUAAAACGCUCAACAUCCCGUCUCAUCUUUGGCCAAAAGAAAUGUGUAGCAAGUACGUCCUCCGUCUUCUUCACGCCAAAGUGUCCCAUUAAUCCUCCUCCAUGCGCCUCCUGCAACAACAAAAGACGAACGGAGCUAGCUUGAAUGCAUAGCUUGUUAGCACGAAACACAAAUCCAUCGUUAACAACAAACUUGUUCCACAUUCUUCCUUCUUUACAAUUCUGCAUUACAUCUUUAAAAUCAGCAUCAUGCACAUAUUGAUCUUUGAUGGUCUCCAAACCAAAUAUUUUGAAGUCAAGUUGUGAAAGCAUAGUAUAGCGACGAGACAAUGCAUCAGCAAUAACAUUUUCUUUUCCCUUCUUGUGUUUAAUGACAUAAGGGAAAGUCUCAAUGAAUUCAACCCAUUUAGCAUGUCUACGAUUCAGUUUAGCUUGACUUUUAAUAUGUUUCAAAGAUUCAUGAUCAGAAUGUAUAACAAAUUCUUUGGGCCAUAAAUAAUGUUGCCAUGUUUCUAAAGUCCGAACAAGAGCAUAUAAUUCUUUAUCAUAGGUAGAAUAAUUCAGACUAGGCCCACUCAAUUUUUCAGAAAAGUAUGCAACAGAUUUGCCAUCUUGUAAUAACACACCUCCUAAUCCAAUUCCACUAGCAUCACAUUCAAGCUCAAAAGUCUUAUUAAAAUCAGGAAGUAGGAGUAAAGGAGCAUGUGUCAACUUAUCUUUCAAUACCGUGAAAGCUUCUUCCUGUGCAGUACCCCAAAGAAAAGGCACAUCUUUCUUUGUAAGCUCAUUGAGAGGUGCAGCAAUGGUGCUGAAAUCUCUCACAAAACGCCUAUAGAAUCCAGCGAGGCCAAGAAAACUCCUCACUUGUGUGACCGUUUUUGAUGAGGACAUCAAUACAAUUGUUACACCCACAGCCCCUGCUGCUAUACAUACUGGACCAAUUACUAGAGCUCGUGCACGCCAACUAAAUUACCAGGUACUUUCAUUUCUUGGUAAUGAUUCUAAUAUUCAUGAGAAUAUGAUGCUGCCUAAAUUGGAUACAUUUGUUUUGCUUACAAAUGAAGGGCCUAGCUUGGAGAAGGAUGAACAUUGGAGCAAGAACAAGCAUGGAGAUGAUGGCAUGCGCAAGGGGAACAAGAACGGAGUUACAAGUGAUGAUUUCAGGACUUUGAAGCCACCAUAAUGGGUGCAUGAAGCCUUGGACGAAAUAUACAAGAUGCCACUUCAUAAAUUUCGUCCCGAGGCUAUUUUAGGUGCUGCGUCACCUUAUUAUUGGGCCAGGCCCAUGUAAUUUCGAACUACAUAAGUAUAGGCUAUUUUUAGAGUCCGUAUGUGUGGGGAAACAAGAGAUAGGGUUGAUUUCGGACCCCUCCACCAAGGGCCACGAAAUUCCCCCCUCUUCCUCCAUAUAUACAGCCCUUAGGGCAUCGUUUAGACUUUGGGAUUUGUUUAGUUAAAAGUUAGCCAUUGCAACUUCGUGUGCUUCGUUUGUGUCCAACGACCAGACCAAGACCACUUUUCGGAUCCCCACCAUUAUCAAUACUUCAUACAUAUUCGCGAUAUUCAGAUUGCUUUUAUCAUAUUCUUGCUUGUUCUUCGAUUGCUUGCAGGAAUAGACCUUCGUGGUCAGGUUGAUCGUGCUCCGGCGUGGUCAAUAACCUCUCGGAGUUGGUUUAGCGAUUGCUAAGGCACAACGUCGUUGCACGUUUGUAGUCGGAUCGUCAAAGUCGUCUCCACCAAAUCGAUAGUUAUCAUCUCAUCGAAAGAUCGGGACACCUUUGCCUCUAUCAUAUAAACUUGCUGGAGAUAAGGGUAGAAAACAUGUUGUGUUUGCACCUGGAGAUCUUGUUUGGUUACAUUUGCGUAAGGAUAGAUUUCCUGAUUUGCGCAAAUCAAAGUUAAUGCCACGUGCUGAUGGUCCCUUUAAGGUGUUAGAGAAAAUAAAUGAUAAUGCAUAUAAACUUGAGCUGCCUGCAGAUUUUGGGGUUAGUCCCACUUUUAACAUUGCAGAUUUGAAGCCUUAUUUGGGUGAGGAAGAUGAACUUCCGUCGAGGACGACUUCAUUUCAAGAAGGGGAGGAUGAUGAGGACAUCAAUACAAUUGUUACACCCACAGCCCCUGCUGCUAUACAUACUGGACCAAUUACUAGAGCUCGUGCACGCCAACUAAAUUACCAGGUACUUUCGUUUCUUGGUAAUGAUUCUAAUGUUCAUGAGAAUAUGAUGCUGCCUAAAUUGGAUACAUUUGUUUUGCUUACAAAUGAAGGGCCUAGCUUGGAGAAGGAUGAACAUUGUAGCAAGAACAAGCAUGGAGAUGAUGGCAUGCGCAAGGGAAACAAGAACGACGUUACAAGUGAUGAUUUCAGGACUUUGAAGCCACCAUAAUGGGUGCAUGAAGCCUUGGACGAAAUAUACAAGAUGCCACUUCAUAAAUUUCGUCCCGAGGCUAUUUUAGGUGCUGCGACACCUUAUUAUUGGGCCAGGCCCAUGUAAUUUCGAAAUACAUAAGUAUAGGCUAUUUUUAGAGUCCGUAUGUGUGGGGAAACAAGAGAUAGGGUUGAUUUCGGACCCCUCCACCAAGGGCCACGAAAUUCCCCCUCUUCCUCCAUAUAUACAGCCCUUAGGGCAUCGUUUAGACUUUGGGUUUUGUUUAGAUUAAAAGUUCGCCAUAGCUGCAACUUCGCGUACUUCGUUUGUGUUCAACGACCAGACAAAGGCGUCACAGAACCCCACCUUGAUCAAUAAAGCUUUCAUCUUAUAUUCGCAAUAUCCAGAUUGCAAUCUUAGUUUCUUGCUUGUUCUUCGUUUGCUCGCAGGAAGCAGACCCUCGUGGUCAGGUUGAUCGUGCUCCGGCGUGGUCAAUAACCUCUCGGAGUUGGUUUAGCGAUUGCUAAGGCGCGACGUCCUCGCACGUUCGUAGUCGGAUCGUCAAAGUCGACUUCCACCAAAGCGAUAUCCAUCAUCUCAUCGAAAGACGGGACACCUUUGCCUCUAUCAGAAGGGGAGGGAUAGCAUAUUUGUUGCCAUGGAUAGAUUCUCGAAAAUGGCACACUUUAUACCAUGUCAUAAAAGCGAUGAUGUUGUUAAUGUUGCUGAUUUGUUCUUUCGUGAAAUUAUUCGCUUGCAUGGUGUGCCAAAUACUAUUGUUUCAGAUCGUGAUACUAAAUUUCUUAGCCACUUUUGGAGAUGUUUAUGGGCUAAGUUGGGGACUAAACUGCUUUUUAGUACUACUUGUCACCCCCAAACUGAUGGACAAACUGAAGUAGUCAAUAGAACGUUGUCUACUAUGCUUAGGACUGUUUUGAAGAAUAAUAAGAAAAUGUGGGAGGAAUGCUUGCCUCAUAUUGAAUUUGCUUAUAAUCGUUCAUUGCAUUCUACUACUAAGAUGUGCCCUUUUGAAGUUGUGUAUGGUUUCCUACCUCAUGCACCUAUUCAUUUGUUGCCUGUUCCAUCUUCGGAGAAGGUUAAUUUUGAUGCUAAACAACAUGCUGAAUUGAUUUUAAAAAUGCAUGAGUUAACUAAGGAAAACAUUGAGCGCAUGAAUGCUAAAUAUAAACUUGCUGGAGAUAAGGGUAGAAAACAUGUUGUGUUUGCACCUGGAGAUCUUGUUUGGUUACAUUUGCGUAAGGAUAGAUUUCCUGAUUUGCGCAAAUCAAAGUUAAUGCCACGUGCUGAUGGUCCCUUUAAGGUGUUAGAGAAAAUAAAUGAUAAUGCAUAUAAACUUGAGCUGCCUGCAGAUUUUGGGGUUAGUCCCACUUUUAACAUUGCAGAUUUGAAGCCUUAUUUGGGUGAGGAAGAUGAACUUCCGUCGAGGAUGACUUCAUUUCAAGAAAGGGAGGAUGAUGAGGACAUCAAUACAAUUGUUACACCCACAGCCCCUGGUGCUAUACAUACUGGACCAAUUACUAGAGCUCGUGCACGCCAACUAAAUUACCAGGUACUUUCGUUUCUUGGUAAUGAUUUUAAUGUUCAUGAGAAUAUGAUGCUGCCUAAUUUGGAUACAUUUGUUUUGCUUACAAAUGAAGGGCCUAGCUUGGAGAAGGAUGAACAUUGGAGCAAGAACAAGCAUGGAGAUGAUGGCAUGCGCAAGGGGAACAAGAACGGAGUUACAAGUGAUGAUUUCAGGACUUUGAAGCCACCAUAAUGGGUGCAUGAAGCCUUGGACGAAAUAUACAAGAUGCCACUUCAUAAAUUUCGUCCCGAGGCUAUUUUAGGUGCUGCGUCACCUUAUUAUUGGGCCAGGCCCAUGUAAUUUUGAAAUACAUAAGUAUAGGCUAUUUUUAGAGUCCGUAUGUGUGGGGAAACAAGAGAUAGGGUUGAUUUCGGACCCCUCCACCAAGGGCCACGAAAUUCCCCCCUCUUCCUCCAUAUAUACAGCCCUUAGGGCAUCGUUUAGACUUUGGGUUUCGUUUAGAUUAAAAGUUUGCCAUAGCUGCAACUUCGCGUACUUCGUUUGUGUUCAACGACCAGACAAAGGCGUCACAGAACCCCACCUUGAUCAAUAAAGCUUUCAUCUUAUAUUCACAAUAUCCAGAUUGCAAUCUUAGUUUCUUGCUUGUUCUUCGUUUGCUCGCAGGAAACAGACCCUCGUGGUCAGGUUGAUCGUGCUCCGGCGUGGUCAAUAACCUCUCGGAGUUGGUUUAGCGAUUGCUAAGGCGCGACGUCCUCGCACGUUCGUAGUCGGAUCGUCAAAGUCGACUUCCACCAAAGCGAUAUCCAUCAUCUCAUCGAAAGACGGGACACCUUUGCCUCUAUCACGGAGGGAGCUGCAACAACUUGGCUAGCAUGGAGAUGGUGGAGAAGCUUUCUCUCACCACAAGACCACAUCCACAUCCUUACUACAUCCAAUGGUUCAACAACAGCGGCAAGGUUAAGGUAACACGUACUGUUCGUGUGCAUUUUAGUAUCUCUACAUAUGCUGAUUAUGUUGAUUGUGAUGUGGUACCUAUGCAAGCAUGUUCCUUAUUACUUGGUAGAGCAUGGCAAUUUGAUAAAAACUCUGUACACCAUGGUAGAAACAAUCACUAUACUCUUGUUCAUAAGGAUAAAAAUAUUACUUUGCUUCCUAUGACUCCUGAUUCCAUUUUGAAAGAUGAUAUUAAUAGAGCUAAUAAAGCAAAACAGGAGAAGAAUAUGAGUGAAAAUCAGAUUGUGGCAAAAGAAUUUGAGCAACAAAUGAAGCCUAAUAAUAAACCAUCUAGUGUUGCUUCUGAAAUUAAAUUGAAAAGUGCAUGCUUAUUUGCCACCAAAUCUGAUAUUGAUGAGCUAGAUUUCAGCAAAUCUGUUUGUUAUGCUUUUGUGUGCAAAGAGGCAUUAUUUUCAUUCGAGGACGUGCCUUCCUCUUUGCCUCCUGCUGUCACUAACAUUUUGCAGGAGUUCGCUGACGUCUUUUGAUGAGGACAUGACUACCUUGGAUAUGACCAAAAAUAUUGCAUAUAUGCAUAUUUGUCAGGUGAUUUCUAGUGCAAACUAUUCAAUAAUCUAUUUAUGUUAUCCAGAACAAAAAUACUUCACACACUUUUGUGUUUUGUCUAAUUGCAGGUGUAUGGGACAUUUGUACAAUCCACAUAUGAAGAUAAGGAAGAAAGAGAUGUUUAUUUGCUGUCCAAAAAGUUCUCUCACGUCACUUUUGGCCCAAGAGAAGAUAGAGUCCAUGUCUCUCACGUUCCGGAUUCAGAUUCGGACUGCACAGACAUACCUGACUCAAAACGCACACAAGUUUUUCAUACGGACUCCGAAUUGGGUGAUUCUUUUUUUGUUGGAAACUAGAUUUCGUGCACUUUCCAACCCAAUUGGGAGCACCUUCAAAUUCGUCCGGAGCAUUGAGUUGUGGACGAAACAAUCUGAUGCUGCAGCAGAAUCCGAGUCAAACUACAAGUCCAAAGGUGUUACAUCACCUCCACUUGGGCCCAUUGGCCUUGUACGACCUAGAUUUAGUUUUAGGCUGCCUUGGGACGUCCUCCCACCUCCUUGGCCGCCACCCCUUGCUCCUAUAUAAGUAGAUCCAUCUAGUAGCUUUUUGCUUGGGAUUUGUUUAGUUAAAAGUUAGCCAUUGCAACUUCGUGUACUUCGUUUGUGUCCAACGACCAGACCAAGACCGCUUACAGAUCCCCACCAUUAUCAAUACUUCAUAUAUAUUCGCAAUAUUCAGAUUGCUUUAUCAUAUUCUUGCUCGUUCUUCGAUUGCUUGCAGGAAUAGACCUUCGUGGUCAGGUUGAUCGUGCUCCAGCGUGGUCAAUAACAUCUCGGAGUUGGUUUAGCGAUUGCUAAGGCGCAACGUCGUGCACGUUUGUAGUCGGAUCGUCAAAGUCGUCUCCACGAAAUCGAUAGUUAUCAUCUCAUCGAAAGAUCGGGACACCCUCGCCUCUAUCAAGUGGUAUCAGUUUUCAGGUUGCUCGGUGAGAAUUUCCAAUUUUCCUAGAUUAGAUUUAUUUUCUUACCUAUUGUCCAAGAAAAAGCCACAAAAAAGAGUUAGAUCUAUUCAUCCUUGGUCCAAGCCAGUCUGAGCCUUUGCAAUUUUCUUUUCAUUGCUUGCAUAGUUGAAUUAUCGGUUGCAUCGUCGUGUCGAGUUGCUGGUCUUAGUGUCUAGUUCCUUUAGAGUUUCGAGUUCUGUUCACAUUAGUCACGCAGCCGCUGCAUCAUUAUCCCAUCCGCUGUCCACCAUCCAAUCCACCAAUUUCCACCACGUGCUACACACUGUUUAUUGUCAUAAUCAUAGUUGAGGUCACUCACAUCUUCGCCUGAUCGAAUCUGCAUCUUAUCUAGUUUGUCUUGGAAAGAGGGAGAAAAAGAAGAUAAAGAAAAAAAAGAGAGAAAAAAGGAAAGAAAAAAAAAGAAAAAGAGGGAGAAGAAAAGGAAAAAAAAAGCGUGAGAAAAAAAAGAGAGAAGAAAAAAAAUUGGAUCUAUCUAGAAUCAAUCUCGUACCUGAAUUCGGAUUGGAAUCUGUUUUGUGCACUGUUCAGUAAAUAGCUUGGCUAUUGUUUCACAUCAUUAUCUUUACUGCCGUUGUGAUCUUCACUUAUAUCUUGCUGUCCAGAGGUACUUUGUAUCCUUCAUUGAUGUUGGUUGUGCUACGACGUGACCUCAUUAGUGUUCUAGGCUCGCGUCUCUAGUUCGGUCUAGCCUAGGACCAGCACAGUACCGUUGUUGAGCGUUUAUUCAACAUUGCAUCUUUGAAUUGAUUAUUGCUAAUCUUUUGCUACCAUAUAUAGCCAACCCAGCUCCACAUAUUUCUACACCGUGUAUACGUACGCUCCCCUGGCAAUCGCUUUACUCAAUAUUCGGAGUUACUUGACACCGCUGGUUGCCGAUCACCGCCUGCUGCAUGGUAAGAACGUGUAAGACAUUGAUAUUUGCUUUACUGUGAGCGUUUUACCACCACAUCCUAGUAGUUAUAGGAACAUUAUUUUUGGGUUUUGUUUCUUGUUCUACUAAUCAUGACAGGAUCCAGAGUCAAUUCAUGGGCUUCGUCGAUCGCGGGAGACGUGCCACCACCUUUGCAAAUACCACAACCGUCACGAGAGGUGCACAAACAUCCAAAUGCACAUGAUCAGGUUAAUGUAUCUAUACCACCAUUUAAUGGCCGUUUUAAACCUGCUUUAUAUAUUGAAUGGGAGUUCGACAUAAAAAAUAUAUUUGCUUCCCAUAAUUUCGAUGAACAUAAAAAGGUUAAGGUUGCGGUUGGUUCUUUCACUGGUUAUGCUUUGGUUUGAUGGAGUGAAUAUUGUCGGUUACACCCUGAUUAUAUACCUACUACUUGGGAUGAUUUGAAACUUGCCAUGCGACAUACUUUCGUCCCUGCUUAUUAUACUCGUGACAUGAUUAAGAAGUUGCAACACUUAAAACAAGGUAGUGAAACUGUAACAAAAUAUUAUGAUGAUUUACAAACUACCUUGUUGCAUUCCUCUUUAGAAGAAAGUGAAGAUGAUUUUAUGGAUAGAUUUUGGGGAGGAUUAAACCGUGAUAUUCAAGAGAUACUAAUUCAUGAAGAGUGUUAUCCUAUGGACCAUUUGUUUCAUCUUGCUUGCAAAGCUGAACAGGAAAUAAAACGACGUGUUGGCCACGAGGAGAACAAGCGCACGGUGCACAUUCCAAGAGUUGAUAUGAUUGUUCCUUUAACUACUAGGCAUACUAUGACAACCACAUCCGUUGUUGUCUGGACUACAUCACCUCCACCAUGUGACACAUCGCCCCCGAGAGUGGCUACAUCAUCUGAGUUGAUCAUAAGAGGUAAUGACAAAGGUACUGAUCUUCCAUCUCUACAUGAGAAUGAUGAAUGCCUUGUCAAUUUGAAUGCACCAUCUGAUGAGCUACCCACUACUUUGAUCACACCACCUAUUUUAGAGGACUACGUUGAUAAUUUGACUUUGCCAUGUGAUCAAACAACUGAAAUACCAACAAUUUUGAGUGCACCCAUUGAAUUAACUAUUGAUGCAAAAGAACCAAUGUUUAAUCAUUUUGAUAUGACCUCUAAUCUUGGUGAUGAUUCUGUGUUGAAUGACUUAUUGCAUGUUUGCUUAUUUAAGCAUGUUGUAGCAUGUAAAUUUGAUGCAAGUAAGGUUUAUUCACCAAUGUUGGGAUGGUUUAAUGAUGACAAUUGUCAAUCUUUUGAAAUGAAUAAGAGCUUCACUUAUAUGUGCAAACUGAGUUGCAAUAUUUUCAUGCCUUCUACUUCUUGUGCUAAUUUUUUGGCUUUAGAUUUUAUGAACUAUGCAAGUUACUCAUCUAUUCAUGUGUCAUAUAUGCAAAAAUCAAGGGAAGUAAAAAUGGAUGACAUAUACAUAUACAACAUGUACACCUUGUCUCUUUUGUUAGCCACAUUUCAGAUUAAGCAACGCCGAGGACGGCUUUAUUUUCAAGAAGGGGAGGAUGAUGAGGACAUGACUACCUUGGAUAGGACCAAAAAUAUUGCAUAUAUGCAUAUUUGUCAGGUGAUUUCCAGUGCAAACUAUUCAAUAAUCUAUUCAUGUUAUCCAGAACAAAAAUACUUCACACACUUUUGUGUUUUGUCUAAUUGCAGGUGUAUGGGACAUUUGUACAAUUCACAUAUGAAGAUAAGGAAGAAAGAGAUAUUUAUUUGCUGUCCAAAAAGUUCUCUCACGUCACUUUUGGCCCAAGAGAAGAUAGAGUCCAAGUCUCUCACGUUCUGGAUUCAGAUUCGGACUGCACAGACAUACCUGACUCAAAACGCACACAAGUUUUUCAUACGGACUCCGAAUUGGGUGAUUCUUUUUUUUUGGAAACUAGAUUUCGUGCACUUUCCAACCCAAUUGGAAUCACCUUCAAAUUCGUCCGGAGCGUUGAGUUGUGGACGAAACAAUCUGAUGCUGCAGCAGAAUCCGAGUCAAACUACAAGUCCAAAGGUGUUACAUCACCUCCACUUGGGCCCAUUGGCCUUGUACGACCUAGAUUUAGUUUUAGGCUGCCUUGGGACGUCCUCCCACCUCCUUGGCCGCCACCCCUUGCUCCUAUAUAAGUAGAUCCAUCUAGUAGCUUUUUGCUUGGGAUUUGUUUAGUUAAAAGUUAGCCAUUGUUCUUUCGUGUACUUCGUUUGUGUCCAACGACCAGACCAAGACCGCUUACGGAUCCCCACCAUUAUCAAUACUUCAUAUAUAUUUGCAAUAUUCAGAUUGCUUUAUCAUAUUCUUGCUCGUUCUUCGAUUGCUUGCAGGAAUAGACCUUCGUGGUCAGGUUGAUCGUGCUCCAGCGUGGUCAAUAACAUCUCGGAGUUGGUUUAGCGAUUGCUAAGGCGCAACGUCGUGCACGUUUGUAGUCGGAUCGUCAAAGUCGUCUCCACGAAAUCGAUAGUUAUCAUCUCAUCAAAAGAUCGGGACACCCUCGCCUCUAUCAUCUUUCCACAAGACGUGCCACCGGGAUUACCGCCUAUUCGAGGGAUUGAGCAUCAGAUUGACUUAAUUUCCGGUGCUUUACUGCCAAACCGUGCACCAUACCGUACCAAUCCAGAGGAGACGAAGGAGAUUAUGCGUCAAGUACAAGAGCUUCUCGACAAAGGUUAUAUACGCGAAUCCCUUAGUCCUUGUGCUGUUCCUAUUAUUCUAGUGCCGAAAAAGGAUGGUACAUCACGUAUGUGUGUUGAUUGUAGAGGCAUUAAUAAUAUUACUAUUCGUUAUCGUCAUCCUAUUCCUAGGCUAGAUGAUAUGCUUGAUGAAUUGAGUGGCUCUACAAUAUUCUCCAAAGUUGAUUUGCGUAGUGGCUACCAUCAAAUUCGUAUGAAAUUGGGAGAUGAAUGGAAAACAGCAUUUAAAACUAAGUUUGGAUUAUAUGAGUGGUUAGUCAUGCCUUUUGGGUUAACUAAUGCACCUAGUACUUUCAUGAGAUUAAUGAACGAAGUUUUACGUGCUUUCAUUGGACGAUUUGUGGUAGUUUACUUUGAUGAACUAUUGAUUUAUAGCAGAUCUUUGGAGGAACAUUUGGAACAUUUACGUGCUGUUUUUAUUGCUCUACGUGAUGCACGUUUGUUUGGUAACCUUGGGAAGUGCACCUUUUGCACCGACCGAGUAUCUUAGCUUGGCUAUGUUGUUACUCCACAGGGAAUUGAAGUUGAUAAAGCCAAGAUUGAAGCUAUUGAGAGUUGGCCGCAGCCCAAAACGGUCACACAAGUGAGGAGUUUUCUUGGCCUCGCUGGAUUCUAUAGGCGUUUUGUGAGAGAUUUCAGCACCAUUGCUGCACCUCUCAAUGAGCUUACAAAGAAAGAUGUGCCUUUUCUUUGGGGUACCGCACAGGAAGAAGCCUUCACGGUAUUGAAAGAUAAGUUGACACAUGCUCCUUUACUCCAACUUCCUGAUUUUAAUAAGACUUUUGAGCUUGAAUGUGAUGCUAGUGGAAUUGGAUUAGGAGGUGUGUUAUUACAAGAUGGCAAACCUGUUGCAUACUUUUCUGAAAAAUUGAGUGGGCCUAGUCUGAAUUAUUCUACUUAUGAUAAAGAAUUAUAUGCUCUUGUUCGGACUUUAGAAACAUGGCAACAUUAUUUAUGGCCCAAAGAAUUUGUUAUACAUUCUGAUCAUGAAUCAUUGAAACAUAUUAAAAGUCAAGCUAAACUGAAUCGUAGACAUGCUAAAUGGGUUGAAUUCAUUGAGACUUUUCCUUAUGUCAUUAAACACAAGAAGGGAAAAGAAAAUGUUAUUGUUGAUGCUUUGUCUCGUCGCUAUACUAUGCUUUCACAACUUGACUUCAAAAUAUUUGGUUUGGAGACCAUCAAAGAUCAAUAUGUGCAUGAUGCUGAUUUUAAAGAUGUAAUGCAUAAUUGUAAAGAAGGAAGAAUGUGCAACAAGUUUGUUGUUAACGAUGGAUUUGUGUUUCGUGCUAACAAGCUAUGCAUUCCAGCUAGCUCCGUUCGUCUUUUGUUGUUGCAGGAGGCGCAUGGAGGAGGAUUAAUGGGACACUUUGGCGUGAAGAAGACGGAGGACGUACUUGCUACACAUUUCUUUUGGCCAAAGAUGAGACGGGAUGUUGAGCGUUUUAUUGCUCGCUGCACUACAUGUCAAAAAGCUAAGUCACGCCUCAAUCCUCAUGGUUUAUAUAUACCUUUGCCUGUACCUAGUGUUCCUUGGGAGGAUAUAUCUAUGGACUUUGUUUUAGGUUUACCUCGAACAAAGAAGGGGAGGGAUAGCAUAUUUGUUGUCGUGGAUAGAUUCUCGAAAAUGGCACACUUUAUACCAUGUCAUAAAAGCGAUGAUGCUGUUAAUGUUGCUGAUUUGUUCUUUCGUGAAAUUAUUCGCUUGCAUGGUGUGCCAAAUACUAUUGUUUCAGAUCGUGAUACUAAAUUUCUUAGCCACUUUUGGAGAUGUUUAUGGGCUAAGUUGGGGACUAAACUGCUUUUUAGUACUACUUGUCACCCCCAAACUGAUGGACAAACUGAAGUAGUCAAUAGAACGUUGUCUACUAUGCUUAGGGCUGUUUUGAAGAAUAAUAAGAAAAUGUGGGAGGAAUGCUUGCCUCAUAUUGAAUUUGCUUAUAAUCGUUCAUUGCAUUCUGCUACUAAGAUGUGCCCUUUUGAAGUUGUGUAUGGUUUCCUACCUCGUGCACCUAUUGAUUUGUUGCCUCUUCCAUCUUUGGAGAAGGUUAAUUUUGAUGCUAAACAACGUGCUGAAUUGAUUUUUAAAAUGCAUGAGUUAACUAAGGAAAACAUUGAGCGUAUGAAUGCUAAAUAUAAACUUGCUGGAGAUAAGGGUAGAAAACAUGUUGUGUUUGCACCUGGAGAUCUUGUUUGGUUACAUUUGCGUAAGGAUAGAUUUCCUGAUUUGCGCAAAUCAAAGUUAAUGCCACGUGCUGAUGGUCCCUUUAAGGUGUUAGAGAAAAUAAAUGAUAAUGCAUAUAAACUUGAGCUGCCUGCAGAUUUUGGGGUUAGUCCCACUUUUAACAUUGCAGAUUUGAAGCCUUAUUUGGGUGAGGAAGAUGAACUUCCGUCGACGACGACUUCAUUUCAAGAAGGGGAGGAUGAUGAGGACAUCAAUACAAUUGUUACACCCACAGCCCCUGCUGCUAUACAUACUGGACCAAUUACUAGAGCUCGUGCACGCCAACUAAAUUACCAGGUACUUUCGUUUCUUGGUAAUGAUUCUAAUGUUCAUGAGAAUAUGAUGCUGCCUAAAUUGGAUACAUUUGUUUUUCUUACAAAUGAAGGGCCUAGCUUGGAGAAGGAUGAACAUUGGAGCAAGAACAAGCAUGGAGAUGAUGGCAUGCGCAAGGAAAACAAGAACGGAGUUACAAGUGAUGAUUUCAGGACUUUGAAGCCACCAUAAUGGGUGCAUGAAGCCUUGGACGAAAUAUACAAGAUGCCACUUCAUAAAUUUCGUCCCGAGGCUAUUUUAGGUGCUGCGUCACCUUAUUAUUGGGCCAGGCCCAUGUAAUUUCGAAAUACAUAAGUAUAGGCUAUUUUUAGAGUCCGUAUGUGUGGGGAAACAAGAGAUAGGGUUGAUUUCGGACCCCUCCACCAAUGGCCACGAAAUUCCCCCCUCUUCCUCCAUAUAUACAGCCCUUAGGGCAUCGUUUAGACUUUGGGUUUUGUUUAGAUUAAAAGUUCGCCAUAGCUGCAACUUCGCGUACUUCGUUUGUGUUCAACGACCAGACAAAGGCGUCACAGAACCCCACCUUGAUCAAUAAAGCUUUCAUCUUAUAUUCGCAAUAUCCAGAUUGCAAUCUUAGUUUCUUGCUUGUUCUUCGUUUGCUCGCAGGAAACAGACCUUCGUGGUCAGGUUGAUCGUGCUCCGGCGUGGUCAAUAACCUCUCGGAGUUGGUUUAGCGAUUGCUAAGGCGCGACGUCCUCGCACGUUCGUAGUCGGAUCGUCAAAGUCGACUUCCACCAAAGCGAAAUCCACCAUCUCAUCGAAAGACGGGACACCUUUGCCUCUAUCAGGCGUUUUGUGAGAGAUUUCAGCACCAUUGCUGCACCUCUCAACGAGCUUACAAAGAAGGAUGUGCCUUUUGUUUGGGGUACCGCACAGGAAGAAGCCUUCACGGUAUUGAAAGAUAAGUUGACACAUGCUCCUUUACCCCAACUUCCUGAUUUUAAUAAGACUUUUGAGCUUGAAUGUGAUGCUAGUGGAAUUGGAUUAGGAGGUGUGUUAUUACAAGAUGGCAAACCUGUUGCAUACUUUUCUGAAAAAUUGAGUAGGCCUAGUCUGAAUUAUUCUACUUAUGAUAAAGAAUUAUAUGCUCUUGUUCGGACUUUAGAAACAUGGCAACAUUAUUUAUGGCCCAAAGAGUUUGUUAUACAUUCUGAUCAUGAAUCUUUGAAACAUAUUAAAAGUCAAGCUAAACUGAAUCGUAGACAUGCUAAAUGGGUUGAAUUCAUUGAGACUUUCCCUUAUGUCAUUAAACACAAGAAGGGAAAAGAAAAUGUUAUUGCUGAUGCAUUGUCUCGUCGCUAUACUAUGCUUUCACAACUUGACUUCAAAAUAUUUGGUUUGGAGACCAUCAAAGAUCAAUAUGUGCAUGAUGCUGAUUUUAAAGAUGUAAUGCAGAAUUGUAAAGAAGGAAGAAUGUGGAACAAGUUUGUCGUUAAUGAUGGAUUUGUGUUUCGUGCUAACAAGCUAUGCAUUCCAGCUAGCUCCGUUCGUCUUUUGUUGUUGCAGGAGGCGCAUGGAGGAGGAUUAAUGGGACACUUUGGCGUGAAGAAGACGGAGGACGUACUUGCUACACAUUUCUUUUGGCCAAAGAUGAGACGGGAUGUUGAGCGUUUUAUUGCUCGAUGCACUACAUGUCAAAAAGCUAAGUCACGACUCAAUCCUCAUGGUUUAUAUAUGCCUUUGCCUGUGCCUAGUGUUCCUUGGGAGGAUAUAUCUAUGGACUUUGUUUUAGGUUUACCUCGAACAAAGAAGGGGAGGGAUAGCAUAUUUGUUAUCGCGGAUAGAUUCUCGAAAAUGGCACACUUUAUACCAUGUCAUAAAAGCGAUGAUGCUGUUAAUGUUGCUGAUUUGUUCUUUCGUGAAAUUAUUCGCUUGCAUGGUGUGCCAAAUACUAUUGUUUCAGAUCGUGAUACUAAAUUUCUUAGCCACUUUUGGAGAUGUUUAUGGGCUAAGUUGGGGACUAAACUGCUUUUUAGUACUACUUGUCACCCCCAAACUGAUGGACAAACUGAAGUAGUCAAUAGAACGUUGUCUACUAUGCUUAGGGCUGUUUUGAAGAAUAAUAAGAAAAUGUGGGAGGAAUGCUUGCCUCAUAUUGAAUUUGCUUAUAAUCGUUCAUUGCAUUCUACUACUAAGAUGUGCCCUUUUGAAGUUGUGUAUGGUUUCCUACCUCGUGCACCUAUUGAUUUGUUGCCUCUUCCAUCUUCGAAGAAGGUUAAUUUUGAUGCUAAACAACGUGCUGAAUUGAUUUUAAAAAUGCAUGAGUUAACUAAGGAAAACAUUGAGCGUAUGAAUGCUAAAUAUAAACUUGCUGGAGAUAAGGGUAGAAAACAUGUUGUGUUUGCACCUGGAGAUCUUGUUUGGUUACAUUUGCGUAAGGAUAGAUUUCCUGAUUUGCGCAAAUCAAAGUUAAUGCCACGUGCUGAUGGUCCCUUUAAGGUGUUAGAGAAAAUAAAUUAUAAUGCAUAUAAACUUGAGCUGCCUGCAGAUUUUGGGGUUAGUCCCACUUUUAACAUUGCAGAUUUGAAGCCUUAUUUGGGUGAGGAAGAUGAACUUCCGUCGAGGACGACUUCAUUUCAAGAAGGGGAGGAUGAUGAGGACAUCAAUACAAUUGUUACACCCACAGCCCCUGCUGCUAUACAUACUGGACCAAUUACUAGAGCUCGUGCACGCCAACUAAAUUACCAGGUACUUUCGUUUCUUGGUAAUGAUUCUAAUGUUCAUGAGAAUAUGAUGCUGCCUAAAUUGGACACAUUUGUUUUGCUUACAAAUGAAGGGCCUAGCUUGGAGAAGGAUGAACAUUGGAGCAAGAACAAGCAUGGAGAUGAUGGCAUGCGCAAGGGGAACAAGAACGGAGUUACAAGUGAUGAUUUCAGGACUUUGAAGCCACCAUAAUGUGUGCAUGAAGCCUUGGACGAAAUAUACAAGAUGCCACUUCAUAAAUUUCGUCCCGAGGCUAUUUUAGGUGCUGCGUCACCUUAUUAUUGGGCCAGGCCCAUGUAAUUUCGAAAUACAUAAGUAUAGGCUAUUUUUAGAGUCCGUAUGUGUGGGGAAACAAGAGAUAGGGUUGAUUUCGGACCCCUCCACCAAGGGCCACGAAAUUCCCCCCCUCUUCCUCCAUAUAUACAGCCCUUAGGGCAUCUUUAGACUUUGGGUUUUGUUUAGAUUAAAAGUUCGCCAUAGUUGCAACUUCGCGUACUUCGUUUGUGUUCAACGACCAGACAAAGGCGUCACAGAACCCCACCUUGAUCAAUCAAGUUUUCAUCUUAUAUUCGCAAUAUCCAGAUUGCAAUCUCAGUUUCUUGCUUGUUCUUCGUUUGCUCGCAGGAAACAGACCCUCGUGGUCAGGUUGAUCGUGCUCCGGCGUGGUCAAUAACCUCUCGGAGUUGGUUUAGCGAUUGCUAAGGCGCGACGUCCUCGCACGUUCGUAGUCGGAUCGUCAAAGUCGACUGCCACCAAAGCGAUAUCCAUCAUCUCAUCGAAAGAAGGGACACCUUUGCCUCUAUCAAAUAUGAUAAAGCAAUCUGAAUAUUGCAAAUAUAUAUGAAGUAUUGAUAAUGGUGGGGAUCCGGAAGCGGUCUUGGUCUGGUCGUUGGACACAAACGAAGUACACGAAGUUGCAAUGGCUAACUUUUAACUAAACAAAUCCCAAAGUCUAAACGAUGCCCUAAGGGCUGUAUAUAUGGAGGAAGAGGGGGGAAUUUCGUGGCCCUUGGUGGAGGGGUCCGAAAUCAACCCUAUCUCUUGUUUCCCCACACAUACGGACUCUAAAAAUAGCCUAUACUUAUGUAUUUCGAAAUUACAUGGGCCUGGCCCAAUAAUAAGGUGACGCAGCACCCAAAAUAGCCUCGGGACGAAAUUUAUGAAGUGGCAUCUUGUAUAUUUCGUCCAUGGCUUCAUGGACCCAUUAUGGUGGCUUCAAAGUCCUGAAAUCAUCACUUGUAACUCCGUUCUUGUUCCCCUUGCGCAUGGCAUCAUCUCCAUGCUUGUUCUUGCUCCAAUGUUCAUCCUUCUCCAAGCUAGGCCCUUCAUUUGUAAGCAAAACAAAUGUAUCCAAUUUAGGCAGCAUCAUAUUCUCAUGAACAUUAGAAUCAUUACCAAGAAACGAAAGUACCUGGUAAUUUAGUUGGCGUGCACGAGCUCUAGUAAUUGGUCCAGUAUGUAUAGCAGCAGGGGCUGUGGGUGUAACAAUUGUAUUGAUGUCCUCAUCAUCCUCCCCUUCUUGAAAUGAAGUCGUCGUCGACGGAAGUUCAUCUUCCUCACCCAAAUAAGGCUUCAAAUCUGCAAUGUUAAAAGUGGGACUAACCCCAAAAUCUGCAGGCAGCUCAAGUUUAUAUGCAUUAUCAUUUAUUUUCUCUAACACCUUAAAGGGACCAUCAGCACGUGGCAUUAACUUUGAUUUGCGCAAAUCAGGAAAUCUAUCCUUACGCAAAUGUAACCAAACAAGAUCUCCAGGUACAAACACAACAUGUUUUCUACCCUUAUCUCCAGCAAGUUUAUAUUUAGCAUUCAUACGCUCAAUGUUUUCCUUAGUUAACUCAUGCAUUUUUAAAAUCAAUUCAGCACGUUGUUUAGCAUCAAAAUUAACCUUCUCCGAAUGAUAGAGGCAAAGGUGUCCCGUCUUUCGAUGAGAUGGUGGAUUUCGCUUUGGUGGAAGUCGACUUUGACGAUCCGACUACGAACGUGCGAGGACGUCGCGCCUUAGCAAUCGCUAAACCAACUCCGAGAGGUUAUUGACCACGCCGGAGCACGAUCAACCUGACCACGAGGGUCUGUUUCCUGCGAGCAAACGAAGAACAAGCAAGAAACUGAGAUUGCAAUCUGGAUAUUGCGAAUAUAAGAUGAAAGCUUUAUUGAUCAAGGUGGGGUUCUGUGACGCCUUUGUCUGGUCGUUGAACACAAACGAAGUAUGCGAAGUUGCAGCUAUGGCGAACUUUUAAUCUAAACAAAACCCAAAGUCUAAACGAUGCCCUAAGGGCUGUAUAUAUGGAGGAAGAGGGGGGGAAUUUCGUGGCCCUUGGUGGAGGGGUCCGAAAUCAACCCUAUCUCUUGUUUCCCCACACAUACGGACUCUAAAAAUAGCCUAUACUUAUGUAUUUCGAAAUUACAUGGGCCUGGCCCAAUAAUAAGGUAACGCAGCACCUAAAAUAGCCUCGGGACGAAAUUUAUGAAGUGGCGUCUUGUAUAUUUCGUCCAAGGCUUCAUGCACCCAUUAUGGUGGCUUCAACGUCCUGAAAUCAUCACUUGUAACUCCGUUCUUGUUUCCCUUGCGCAUGCCAUCAUCUCCAUGCUUGUUCUUGCUCCAAUGUUCAUCCUUCUCCAAGCUAGGCCCUUCAUUUGUAAGCAAAACAAAUGUAUCCAAUUUAGGCAGCAUCAUAUUCUCAUGAACAUUAGAAUCAUUACCAAGAAACGAAAGUACCUGGUAAUUUAGUUGGCGUGCACGAGCUCUAGUAAUUGGUCCAGUAUGUAUAGCAGCAGGGGCUGUGGGUGUAACAAUUGUAUUGAUGUCCUCAUCAUCCUCCCCUUCUUGAAAUGAAGUCGUCCUGGACGGAAGUUCAUCUUCCUCACCCAAAUAAGGCUUCAAAUCUGCAAUGUUAAAAGUGGGACUAACCCCAAAAUCUGCAGGCAGCUCAAGUUUAUAUGCAUUAUCAUUUAUUUUCUCUAACACCUUAAAGGGACCAUCAGCACGUGGCAUUAACUUUGAUUUGCGCAAAUCAGGAAAUCUAUCCUUACGCAAAUGUAACCAAACAAGAUCUCCAGGUGCAAACACAACAUGUUUUCUACCCUUAUCUCCAGCAAGUUUAUAUUUAGCAUUCAUGCGCUCAAUGUUUUCCUUAGUUAACUCAUGCAUUUUUAAAAUCAAUUCAGCACGUUGUUUAGCAUCAAAAUUAACCUUCUCCGAAGAUGGAAGAGGCAACAAAUCAAUAGGUGCACGAGGUAGGAAACAAUACACAACUUCAAAAGGGCACAUCUUAGUAGUAGAAUGCAAUGAACGAUUAUAAGCAAAUUCAAUAUGAGGCAAGCAUUCCUCCCACAUUUUCUUAUUAUUCUUCAAAACAGCCCUAAGCAUAGUAGACAACGUUCUAUUGACUACUUCAGUUUGUCCAUCAGUUUGGGGGUGACAAGUAGUACUAAAAAGCAGUUUAGUCCCCAACUUAGCCCAUAAACAUCUCCAAAAGUGGCUAAGAAAUUUAGUAUCACGAUCUGAAACAAUAGUAUUUGGCACACCAUGCAAGCGAAUAAUUUCACGAAAGAACAAAUCAGCAACAUUAACAGCAUCAUCGCUUUUAUGACAUGGUAUAAAGUGCGCCAUUUUCGAGAAUCUAUCCACGACAACAAAUAUGCUAUCCCUCCCCUUCUUUGUUCGAGGUAAACCUAAAACAAAGUCCAUAGAUAUAUCCUCCCAAGGAACACUAGGUACAGGCAAAGGCAUACAUAAACCAUGAGGAUUGAGUCGUGACUUAGCUUUUUGACAUGUAGUGCAGCGAGCAAUAAAACGCUCAACAUCCCGUCUCAUCUUUGGCGAAAAGAAAUGUGUAGAAAGUGAUAGAGGCGAGGGUGUCCCGUCUUUCGAUGAGAUGAUGGAUAUCGCUUUGGUGGAAGUCGACUUUGACGAUCCGACUACGAACGUGCGAGGACGUCGCGCCUUAGCAAUCGCUAAACCAACUCCGAGAGGUUAUUGACCACGCCGGAGCACGAUCAACCUGACCACGAGGGUCUGUUUCCUGCGAGCAAACGAAGAACAAGCAAGAAACUGAGAUUGCAAUCUGGAUAUUGCGAAUAUAAGAUGAAAGCUUUAUUGAUCAAGGUGGGGUUCUGUGACGCCUUUGUCUGGUCGUUGAACACAAACGAAGUACGCGAAGUUGCAGCUAUGGCGAACUUUUAAUCUAAACAAAACCCAAAGUCUAAACGAUGCCCUAAGGGCUGUAUAUAUGGAGGAAGAGGGGGGAAUUUCGUGGCCCUUGGUGGAGGGGUCCGAAAUCAACCCUAUCUCUUGUUUCCCUACACAUACGGUCUCUAAAAAUAGCCUAUACUUAUGUAUUUCGAAAUUACAUGGGCCUGGCCCAAUAAUAAGGUGACGCAGCACCUAAAAUAGCCUCGGGACGAAAUUUGUGAAGUGGCAUCUUGUAUAUUUCGUCCAAGGCUUCAUGCACCCAUUAUGGUGGCUUCAAAGUCCUGAAAUCAUCACUUGUAACUCCGUUCUUGUUCCCCUUGCGCAUGCCAUCAUCUCCAUGCUUGUUCUUGCUCCAAUGUUCAUCCUUCUCCAAGCUAGGCCCUUCAUUUGUAAGCAAAACAAAUGUAUCCAAUUUAGGCAGCAUCAUAUUCUCAUGAACAUUAGAAUCAUUACCAAGAAACGAAAGUACCUGGUAAUUUAGUUGGCGUGCACGAGCUCUAGUAAUUGGUCCAGUAUGUAUAGCAGCAGGGGCUGUGGGUGUAACAAUUGUAUUGAUGUCCUCAUCAUCCUCCCCUUCUUGAAAUGAAGUCGUCCUCGACGGAAGUUCAUCUUCUUCACCCAAAUAAGGCUUCAAAUCUGCAAUGUUAAAAGUGGGACUAACCCCAAAAUCUGCAGGCAGCUCAAGUUUAUAUGCAUUAUCAUUUAUUUUCUCUAACACCUUAAAGGGACCAUCAGCACGUGGCAUUAACUUUGAUUUGCGCAAAUCAGGAAAUCUAUCCUUACGCAAAUGUAACCAAACAAGAUCUCCAGGUGCAAACACAACAUGUUUUCUACCCUUAUCUCCAGCAAGUUUAUAUUUAGCAUUCAUGCGCUCAAUGUUUUCCUUAGUUAACUCAUGCAUUUUUAAAAUCAAUUCAGCACGUUGUUUAGCAUCAAAAUUAACCUUCUCCGAAGAUGGAAGAGGCAACAAAUCAAUAGGUGCACGAGGUAGGAAACCAUACACAACUUCAAAAGGGCACAUCUUAGUAGCAGAAUGCAAUGAACGAUUAUAAGCAAAUUCAAUAUGAGGCAAGCAUUCCUCCCACAUUUUCUUAUUAUUCUUCAAAACAGCCCUAAGCAUAGUAGACAAUGUUCUAUUGACUACUUCAGUUUGUCCAUCAGUUUGGGGGUGACAAGUAGUACUAAAAAGCAGUUUAGUCCCCAACUUAGCCCAUAAACAUCUCCAAAAGUGGCUAAAAAAUUUAGUAUCACGAUCUGAAACAAUAGUAUUUGGCACAUCAUGCAAGCGAAUAAUUUCACGAAAGAACAAAUCAGCAACAUUAACAGCAUCAUCACUUUUAUGACAUGGUAUAAAGUGUGCCAUUUUCGAGAAUCUAUCCACGACAACAAAUAUGCUAUCCCUCCCCUUCUUUGUUCGAGGUAAACCUAAAACAAAGUCCAUAGAUAUAUCCUCCCAAGGAACAGUAGGUACAGGCAAAGGCAUAUAUAAACCAUGAGGAUUGAGUCGUGACUUAGCUUUUUGACAUGUAGUGCAGCGAGCAAUAAAACGCUCAACAUCCCGUCUCAUCUUUGGCUAAAAGAAAUGUGUAGCAAGUACGUCCUCCGUCUUCUUCACGCCAAAGUGUCCCAUUAAUCCUCCUCCAUGCGCCUCCUGCAACAACAAAAGACGAACGGAGCUAGCUGGAAUGCAUAGCUUGUUAGCACGAAACACAAAUCCAUCGUUAACAACAAACUUGUUCCACAUUCUUCCUUCUUUACAAUUCUGCAUUACAUCUUUAAAAUCAGCAUCAUGCACAUAUUGAUCUUUGAUGGUCUCCAAACCAAAUAUUUUGAAGUCAAGUUGUGAAAGCAUAGUAUAGCGACGAGACAAUGCAUUAGCAAUAACAUUUUCUUUUCCCUUCUUGUGUUUAAUGACAUAAGGGAAAGUCUCAAUGAAUUCAACCCAUUUAGCAUGUCUACGAUUCAGUUUAGCUCUACUUUUAAUAUGUUUCAAAGAUUCAUGAUCAGAAUGUAUAACAAAUUCUUUGGGCCAUAAAUAAUGUUGCCAUGUUUCUAAAGUCCGAACAAGAGCAUAUAAUUCUUUAUCAUAAGUAGAAUAAUUCAGACUAGGCCCACUCAAUUUUUCAGAAAAGUAUGCAACAGGUUUGCCAUCUUGUAAUAACACACCUCCUAAUCCAAUUCCACUAGCAUCACAUUCAAGCUCAAAAGUCUUAUUAAAAUCAGGAAGUUGGAGUAAAGGAGCAUGUGUCAACUUAUCUUUCAAUACCGUGAAGGCUUCUUCCUGUGCGGUACCCCAAAGAAAAGGCACAUCUUUCUUUGUAAGCUCAUUGAGAGGUGCAGCAAUGGUGCUGAAAUCUCUCACAAAACGCCUAUAGAAUCCAGCGAGGCCAAGAAAACUCCUCACUUGUGUGACCGUUUUGGGUUGCGGCCAACUCUCAAUAGCUUCAAUCUUGGCUUUAUCAACUUCAAUUCCCUGUGGAGUAACAACAUAGCCAAGAAAAGAUACUCGAUCGGUGCAAAAGGUGCACUUCCCAAGGUUACCAAACAAAUGUGCAUCACGUAGAGCAAUAAAAACAGCACGUAAAUGUUCCAAAUGUUCUUCCAAAGAUCUGCUAUAAAUCAAUAUGUCAUCAAAGUAAACUACCACAAAUCGUCCAAUGAAAACACGCAAAACUUCGUUCAUUAAUCUCAUGAAAGUACUAGGUGCAUUAGUUAACCCAAAAGGCAUGACUAACCACUCAUAUAAUCCAAACUUAGUUUUGAAUGCUGUUUUCCAUUCAUCUCCCAAUUUCAUACGAAUUUGAUGGUAUCCACUACGUAAAUCAACUUUGGAGAAUAUUGUAGAGCCACUCAAUUCAUCAAGCAUAUCAUCUAGCCUAGGAAUAGGAUGACGAUAACGAAUAGUAAUAUUAUUAAUGCCUCUACAAUCAACACACAUACGUGAUGUACCAUCCUUUUUCGGCACUAGAAUAAUAGGAACAGCACAAGGACUAAGGGAUUCACGUAUAUAACCUUUGUCGAGAAGCUCUUGUACUUGACGCAUAAUCUCCUUCGUCUCCUCUGGAUUGGUACGGUAUGGUGCACGGUUUGGCAGUGAAGCACCGGGAAUUAAGUCAAUCUGAUGCUCAAUCCCUCGAAUAGGCGGUAAUCCCGGUGGCACGUCUUGUGGAAAAACGUCAGCGAACUCCUGCAAAAUGUUAGUGACAGCAGGAGGCAAAGUGGAAGGCACGUCCUCGAAUGAAAAUAAUGCCUCUUUGCACACAAAAGCAUAGCAAACAGAUUUGCUGAAAUCUAGCUCAUCAAUAUCAGAUUUGGUGGCAAAUAAACAUGCACUUUUCAAUUUAAUUUCAGAAGCAACACUAGAUGGUUUAUUAUUAGGCUUCAUUUGUUGCUCAAAUUCUUUUGCCACAAUCUGAUUUUCACUCUUAUUCUUCUCCUGUUGUGCUUUAUUAGCUCUAUUAAUAUCAUCUUUCAAAAUGGAAUCAGGAGUCAUAGGAAGCAAAGUAAUAUUUUUAUCCUUAUGAACAAGAGUAUAGUGAUUGUUUCUACCAUGGUGUACAGAAUUUUUAUCAAAUUGCCAUGGUCUACCAAGUAAUAAGGAACAUGCUUGCAUAGGUACCACAUCACAAUCAACAUAAUCAGCAUAUGUAGUGAUAGAGGCAAAGGUGUCCCGUCUUUCGAUGAGAUGGUGGAUUUCGCUUUGGUGGAAGUCAACUUUGUCGAUCCGACUACGAACGUGCGAGGACGUCGCGCCUUAGCAAUCGCUAAACCAACUCCGAGAGGUUAUUGACCACGCCGGAGCACGAUCAACCUGACCACGAAGGUCUGUUUCCUGCGAGCAAACGAAGAACAAGCAAGAAACUAAGAUUGCAAUCUGGAUAUUGCGAAUAUAAGAUGAAAGCUUUAUUGAUCAAGGUGGGGUUCUGUGACGCCUUUGUCUGGUCGUUGAACACAAACGAAGUACGCGAAGUUGCAGCUAUGGCGAACUUUUAAUCUAAACAAAACCCAAAGUCUAAACGAUGCCCUAAGGGCUGUAUAUAUGGAGGAAGAGGGGGGGAAUUUCGUGGCCCUUGGUGGAGGGGUCCGAAAUCAACCCUAUCUCUUGUUUCCCCACACAUACGGACUCUAAAAAUAGCCUAUACUUAUGUAUUUCGAAAUUACAUGGGCCUGGCCCAAUAAUAAGGUGACGCAGCACCUAAAAUAGCCUCGGGACGAAAUUUAUGAAGUGGCGUCUUGUAUAUUUCGUCCAAGGCUUCAUGCACCCAUUAUGGUGGCUUCAACGUCCUGAAAUCAUCACUUGUAACUCCGUUCUUGUUUCCCUUGCGCAUGCCAUCAUCUCCAUGCUUGUUCUUGCUCCAAUGUUCAUCCUUCUCCAAGCUAGGCCCUUCAUUUGUAAACAAAACAAAUGUAUCCAAUUUAGGCAGCAUCAUAUUCUCAUGAACAUUAGAAUCAUUACCAAGAAACGAAAGUACCUGGUAAUUUAGUUGGCGUGCACGAGCUCUAGUAAUUGGUCCAGUAUGUAUAGCAGCAGGGGCUGUGGGUGUAACAAUUGUAUUGAUGUCCUCAUCAUCCUCCCCUUCUUGAAAUGAAGUCGUCGUCGACGGAAGUUCAUCUUCCUCACCCAAAUAAGGCUUCAAAUCUGCAAUGUUAAAAGUGGGACUAACCCCAAAAUCUGCAGGCAGCUCAAGUUUAUAUGCAUUAUCAUUUAUUUUCUCUAACACCUUAAAGGGACCAUCAGCACGUGGCAUUAACUUUGAUUUGCGCAAAUCAGGAAAUCUAUCCUUACGCAAAUGUAACCAAACAAGAUCUCCAGGUGCAAACACAACAUGUUUUCUACCCUUAUCUCCAGCAAGUUUAUAUUUAGCAUUCAUGCGCUCAAUGUUUUCCUUAGUUAACUGAUGCAUUUUUAAAAUCAAUUCAGCACGUUGUUUAGCAUCAAAAUUAACCUUCUCCGAAGAUGGAAGAGGCAACAAAUCAAUAGGUGCACGAGGUAGGAAACCAUACACAACUUCAAAAGGGCACAUCUUAGUAGUAGAAUGCAUUGAACGAUUAUAAGCAAAUUCAAUAUGAGGCAAGCAUUCCUCCCACAUUUUCUUAUUAUUCUUCAAAACAGCCCUAAGCAUAGUAGACAACGUUCUAUUGACUACUUCAGUUUGUCCAUCAGUUUGGGGGUGACAAGUAGUACUAAAAAGCAGUUUAGUCCCCAACUUAGCCCAUAAACAUCUCCAAAAGUGGCUAAGAAAUUUAGUAUCACGAUCUGAAACAAUAGUAUUUGGCACACCAUGCAAGCGAAUAAUUUCACGAAAGAACAAAUCAGCAACAUUAACAGCAUCAUCGCUUUAGUUAACCACAAAUCGUCCAAUGAAAGCACGUAAAACUUCGUUCAUUAAUCUCAUGAAAGUACUAGGUGCAUUAGUUAACCCAAAAGGCAUGACUAACCACUCAUAUAAUCCAAACUUAGUUUUGAAUGCUGUUUUCCAUUCAUCUCCCAAUUUCAUACGAAUUUGAUGGUAUCCACUACGUAAAUCAACUUUGGAGAAUAUUGUAGAGCCACUCAAUUCAUCAAGCAUAUCAUCUAGCCUAGGAAUAGGAUGACGAUAACGAAUAGUAAUAUUAUUAAUGCCUCUACAAUCAACACACAUACGUGAUGUACCAUCCUUUUUCGGCACUAGAAUAAUAGGAACAGCACAAGGACUAAGGGAUUCGCGUAUAUAACCUUUGUCGAGAAGCUCUUGUACUUGACGCAUAAUCUCCUUCGUCUCCUCUGGAUUGGUACGGUAUGGUGCACGGUUUGGCAGUGAAGCACCGGGAAUUAAGUCAAUCUGAUGCUCAAUCCCUCGAAUAGGCGGUAAUCCCGGUGGCACGUCUUGUGGAAAAACGUCAGCGAACUCCUGCAAAAUGUUAGUGACAGCAGGAGGCAAAGAGGAAGGCACAUCCUCGAAUGAAAAUAAUGCCUCUUUGCACACAAAAGCAUAGCAAACAGAUUUGCUGAAAUCUAGCUCAUCAAUAUCAUAUUUGGUGGCAAAUAAACAUGCACUUUUCAAUUUAAUUUCAGAAGCAACACUAGAUGGUUUAUUAUUAGGCUUCAUUUGUUGCUCAAAUUCUUUUGCCACAAUCUGAUUUUCACUCUUAUUCUUCUCCUGUUUUGCUUUAUUAGCUCUAUUAAUAUCAUCUUUCAAAAUGGAAUCAGGAGUCAUAGGAAGCAAAGUAAUAUUUUUAUCCUUAUGAACAAGAGUAUAGUGAUUGUUUCUACCAUGGUGUACAGAAUUUUUAUCAAAUUGCCAUGGUCUACCAAGUAAUAAGGAACAUGCUUGCAUAGGUACCACAUCACAAUCAACAUAAUCAGCAUAUGUAGAGAUACUAAAAUGCACACGAACAGUAUGUGUUACCUUAACCUUGCCGCUGUUGUUGAACCAUUGGAUGUAGUAAGGAUGUGGAUGUGGUCUUGUGGUGAGAGAAAGCUUCUCCACAAUCUUCAUGCUAGCCAAGUUGUUGCAGCUCCCUCCGUCUAUUAUGACGCGCACAGAACGUUCCUUCACAACUCCCUUGUGAUGAGGACAUGACUACCUUGGAUAUGACCAAAAAUAUUGCAUAUAUGCAUAUUUGUUAGGUGAUUUCUAGUGCAAACUAUUCAAUAAUCUAUUUAUGUUAUCCAGAACAAAAAUACUUCACACACUUUUGUGUUUUGUCUAAUUGCAGGUGUAUGGGACAUUUGUACAAUCCACAUAUGAAGAUAAGGAAGAAAGAGAUGUUUAUUUGCUGUCCAAAAAGUUCUCUCACGUCACUUUUGGCCCAAGAGAAGAUAGAGUCCAAGUCUCUCAUGUUCUGGAUUCAGAUUCGGACUGCACAGACAUACCUGACUCAAAACGCACACAAGUUUUCCUUACGGACUCCGAAUUGGGUGAUUCUUUUUUUGUUGGAAACUAGAUUUCGUGCACUUUCCAACCCAAUUGGAAUCAACUUCAAAUUCGUCCGGAGCAUUGAGUUGUGGACGAAACAAUCUGAUGCUGCAGCAGAAUCCGAGUCAAACUACAAGUCCAAAGGUGUUACAUCACCUCCACUUGGGCCCAUUGGCCUUGUACGACCUAGAUUUAGUUUUAGGCUGCCUUGGGACGUCCUCCCACCUCCUUGGCCGCCACCCCUUGCUCCUAUAUAAGUAGAUCCAUCUAGUAGCUUUUCCUUGGGAUUUGUUUAGUUAAAAGUUAGCCAUUGCAACUUCGUGUACUUCGUUUGUGUCCAACGACCAGACCAAGACCACUUUUCGGAUCCCCACCAUUAUCAAUACUUCAUACAUAUUCGCGAUAUUCAGAUUGCUUUUAUCAUAUUCUUGCUUGUUCUUCGAUUGCUUGCAGGAAUAGACCUUCAUGGUCAGGUUGAUCGUGCUCCGGCGUGGUCAAUAACCUCUCGGAGUUGGUUUAGCGAUUGCUAAGGCACAACGUCGUUGCACGUUUGUAGUCGGAUCGUCAAAGUCGUCUCCACCAAAUCGAUAGUUAUCAUCUCAUCGAAAGAUCGGGACACCCCGCCUCUAUCAAGUGGUAUCAGUUUUCAGGUUGCUCGGUGAGAAUUUCCAGUUUUUCCUAGAUUAGAUUUAUUUUCUUACCUAUUGUCCAAGAAAAAGCCACAAAACAAAAGUUAGAUCUAUUCAUCCAUUGUCCUAGCCAGACUGAGCCUUUGCAAUUUUCUUUUCAUUGUUUGCAUUAUUGAAUUAUCGGUUGCAUCGCCAUGUCGAGUUGCUGGUCUUAGUGUCUACUUCCUUUAGAGUUUCGAGUUCUGUUCACAUUAGUCACGCAGCCGCUGCAUCAUUAUCCCAUCCGCUGUCCACCAUCCCAUCCACCAAUUUCCACCACGUGCUACGCACUGUUUAUUGUCAUAAUCAUAGUUGAGGUCACUCACAUCUUCGCUUGAUCGAAUCUGCAUCUUAUCUAGUUUGUCUUGGAAAGAGGGAGAAAAAGAAGAUAAAGAAAAAAAGAGAGAAAAAAGGAAAGAAAAAAAAGGAAAAAGAGGGAGAAGAAAAAGAAAAAAAAAGCGUGAGAAAAAAAAAGAGAGAAGAAAAAAAAUUGGAUCUAUCUAGAAUCAAUCUCGUACCUGAAUUCGGAUUGGAAUCUGUUUUGUGCACUGUUCAGUAAAACAGGUGUAUCUUCCUCAUACGAAGUCCGUUUUGGCUCCGUGAGUACUCAAAUUGAAGAUAGCGACGAGCCGCAUCUAAAUAGUUGCAGAAGCAAGUUCAAUAUUUGACACCUCAAAAUCGGCUUCUAAAUAGGUCUUUUUGCCCUCCGAAGUUCGUGAACACAGCUUGUUCCAAUUUUUCAGGCCAGUUUUAGAAUUCUUUGACUCCUCAUAUCAACUCGGAAUUGAGUGAUUCUUUUUGCAUUGGAAAGCUUGAGUUAGUAGCAUUCUUUGAAAGAAUUUAUCAGAAAAUUGUCUCAAACUUUUCAAGAGGAAAGUUGGAGAGAGAGUUGUUGUAUAUCCUGCUUGGCAGUUGUUUUUCAUCAUUAUCUUCACUGCCGUUGUGAUCUUCACUUAUAUCUUGCUGUCAAGAGCUACUUAGUAUCCUUCAUUGAUGCUAGUUGUGCUACGCCGUGACCUUAUUAGUGUUCUAGGCUCGCGUCUCUAGUCCGGUCUAGCCUAGGACCAGCACAGUACCGUCGUUGAGCAUUUAUUCAACAUUGCAUCUUUGAAUUGAUUAUUGCUAAUCUUUUGCUACCAUAUAUAGCCAACCCAGCUCCACAUAUUUCUACACCGUGUAUACGUACGCUCCCCUGGCAAUCGCUUUACUCAAUAUUCGGAGUUACUUGACACCGCUGGUUGCCGAUCACCGCCUGCUGCAUGGUAAGAACUUGUAAGACAUUGAUAUUUACUUUACUGUGAGCGUUUUACCACCACAUCCUAGUAUGAUGAGGACAUGACUACCUUGGAUAUGACCAAAAAUAUUGCAUAUAUGCAUAUUUGUCUGGUGAUUUCUAGUGCAAACUAUUCAAUAAUCUAUUUAUGUUAUCCAGAACAAAAAUACUUCACACACUUUUGUGUUUUGUCUAAUUGCAGGUGUAUGGGACAUUUGUACAAUCCACAUAUGAAGAUAAGGAAGAAAGAGAUGUUUAUUUGCUGUCCAAAAAGUUCUCUCACGUCACUUUUGGCCCAAGAGAAGAUAGAGUCCAAGUCUCUCACGUUCUGGAUUCAGAUUCGGACUGCACAGACACACCUGACUCAAAACGCACACAAGUUUUUCGUACGGACUCCGAAUUGGGUGAUUCUUUUUUUGUUGGAAACUAGAUUUCGUGCACUUUCCAACCCAAUUGGAAUCACCUUCAAAUUCGUCCGGAGCGUUGAGUUGUGGACGAAACAAUCUGAUGCUGCAGCAGAAUCCGAGUCAAACUACAAGUCCAAAGGUGUUACAUCACCUCCACUUGGGCCCAUUGGCCUUGUACGACCUAGAUUUAGUUUUAGGCUGCCUUGGGACGUCCUCCCACCUCCUUGGCCACCACCCCUUGCUCCUAUAUAAGUAGAUCCAUCUAGUAGCUUUUCCUUGGGAUUUGUUUAGUUAAAAGUUAGCCAUUGCAACUUCGUGUACUUCGUUUGUGUCCAACGACCAGACCAAGACCGCUUACGGAUCCCCACCAUUAUCAAUACUUCAUAUAUAUUCGCAAUAUUCAGAUUGCUUUAUCAUAUUCUUGCUCGUUCUUCGAUUGCUUGUAGGAAUAGACCUUCGUGGUCAGGCUGACCGUGCUUCCAGCAUCGUCAGUAACCUCUCGGAGUUGGUUUAGCGAUUGCUAAGGUGCAACGUCGUGCACGUUUGUAGUCGGAUCGUCAAAGUCGUCUCCACCAAAUCGAUAGUUAUCAUCUCAUCGAAAGAUCGGGACCCCGCCUCUAUCAAGUGGUAUCAGAUUUCCAGGUUGCUCGGUGAGAUUUUACAGUUUUUCGUAGUUUAGAUCGAGUUUGUUCUUCAUACCUAAAGUCCACGAAAAAGCCACAAAAAAAAUUAGGGUUAGUUCAUCAUAUCCGAACCAAUCUGAGCCUUUGCAUAAUCUUUUUAGGGUUUUGCUUUGUUGAAUUUGCGGUUGCAUCGUCGUGUCUAGUUGCUGGUCUUAGAGUCUAGUCUUUUAGAGUUUCGAGUUCUGGUCAUAAGUUGUCACGCCGCCCCGCACCAUCAUCAUCGCCCCUGCCAUCUACCACCACCGCUUAUCCGCCACCGCUCCGAAUCCGUAUCCAUAUACCACCACCAAUCCGUGUCCAUAUACCAUCACCGAUCCAUAUCCAUAUACUACCACCGCUACCACCACCGCUGCCAUAUACCACCACCAUAUAUCCACCACCAAUCCGAGUUCCUUGCAUAUUAGGUUUGUUUUCGAGAUCCAUCUAGAUUCCGAUUCGUGUUUCCUUGCCGGAGUAGGUUUCGGAAAAAAAAGAAAAAGAAAAAAAAAGAAAAAAAAAGAUAGAAAAAAAAAGAAAAAAAAGAGAGAAGAAAAAAACUGGAUCUAUCUAGAAUCAAUCUGGAAUUGGGUGAUUCUUUUUGCAUUGGAAAGCUUGAGUUAGUAGCAUUCUUUGAAAGAAUUUAUCAGAAAAUUGUCUCAAACUUUUCAAGAGGAAAGUUGGAGAGAGAGUUGUUGUAUAUCCUGCUUGGCAGUUGUUUUUCAUCAUUAUCUUCACUGCCGUUGUGAUCUUCACUUAUAUCUUGCUGUCAAGAGCUACUUAGUAUCCUUCAUUGAUGCUAGUUGUGCUACGCCGUGACCUUAUUAGUGUUCUAGGCUCGCGUCUCUAGUCCGGUCUAGCCUAGGACCAGCACAGUACCGUCGUUGAGCGUUUAUUCAACAUUGCAUCUUUGAAUUGAUUAUUGCUAAUCUUUUGCUACCAUAUAUAGCCAACCCAGCUCCACAUAUUUCUACACCGUGUAUACGUACGCUCCCCUGGCAAUCGCUUUACUCAAUAUUCGGAGUUACUUGACACCGCUGGUUGCCGAUCACCGCCUGCUGCAUGGUAAGAACUUGUAAGACAUUGAUAUUUGCGUUACUGUGAGCGUUUUACCACCACAUCCUAGUAGUUAUAGGAACAUUAUUUUUGGGUUUUGUUUCUUGUUCUACUAAUCAUGACAGGAUCCAGAGUCAAUUCAUGGGCUUUGUCGAUCGCGGGAGACGUGCGACCACCUUUGCAAAUACCACAACCGUCACGAGAGGUGCACAAACAUCCAAAUGCACAUGAUCAGGUUAAUGUAUCUAUACCACCAUUUAAUGGCUGUUUUAAACCUGCUUUAUAUAUUGAAUGGGAGUUCGACAUAAAAAAUAUAUUUGCUUCCCAUAAUUUCGAUGAACAUAAAAAGGUUAAGGUUGCGGUUUGUUCUUUCACUGGUUAUGCUUUGGUUUGGUGGAGUGAAUAUUGUCGGUUACACCCUGAUUAUAUACCUACUACUUGGGAUGAUUUGAAACUUGCCAUGCGACAUACUUUCGUCCCUGCUUAUUAUACUCGUGACAUGAUUAAGAAGUUGCAACACUUAAAACAAGGUAGUGAAACUGUAACAAAAUAUUAUGAUGAUUUACAAACUACCUUGUUGCAUUCCUCUUUAGAAGAAAGUGAAGAUGAUUUUAUGGAUAGAUUUUGGGGAGGGUUAAACCAUGAUAUUCAAGAGAUACUAAUUCAUGAAGAGUGUUAUCCUAUGGACCAUUUGUUUCAUCUUGCUUGCAAAGCUGAACAGGAAAUAAAACGACGUGUUGCCCACGAGGAGAACAAGCGCACGGUGCACAUUCCAAGAGUUGAUAUGAUUGUUCCUUCAACUACUAGGCAUACUAUGACAACCACAUCCGUUGUUGUCAGGACUACAUCACCUCCACCAUGUGACACAUCGCCCCCGAGAGUGGCUACAUCAUCUGAGUUGAUCAUAAGAGGUAAUGACAAAGGUACUGAUCUUCCAUCUCUACAUGAGAAUGAUGAAUGCCUUGUCAAUUUGAAUGCACCAUCUGAUGAGCUACCCACUACUUUGAUCACACCACCUAUUUUAGAGGACUACGUUGAUAAUUUGACUUUGCCAUGUGAUCAAACAACUGAAAUACCAACAAUUUUGAGUGCACCCAUUGAAUUAACUAUUGAUGCAAAAGAACCAAUGUUUAAUCAUUUUGAUAUGACCUCUAAUCUUGGUGAUGAUUCUGUGUUGAAUGACUUAUUGCAUGUUUGCUUAUUUAAGCAUGUUGUAGCAUGUAAUUUUGAUGCAAGUAAGGUUUAUUCACCAAUGUUGGGAUGGUUUAAUGAUGAACAUUAUCAAUCUUUUGAAAUGAAUAAGACCUUCACUUAUAUGUGCAAACUGAGUUGCAAUAUUUUCAUGCCUUCUACUUCUUGUGCUAAUUUUUUGGCUUUAGAUUUUAUGAACUAUGCAAGUUACUCAUCUAUUCAUGUGUCAUAUAUGCAAAAAUCAAGGGAAGUAAAACUGGAUGACAUAUACAUAUACAACAUGUACACCUUGUCUCUUUUGUUAGCCACAUUUUAGAUUAAGCAAUGCCGAGGACGGCUUUAUUUUCAAGAAGGGGAGGAUGAUGAGGACAUGACUACCUUGGAUAUGACCAAAAAUAUUGCAUAUAUGCAUAUUUGUCAGGUGAUUUCUAGUGCAAACUAUUCAAUAAUCUAUUUAUGUUAUCCAGAACAAAAAUACUUCACACACUUUUGUGUUUUGUCUAAUUGCAGGUGUAUGGGACAUUUGUACAAUCCACAUAUGAAGAUAAGGAAGAAAGAGAUGUUUAUUUGCUGUCCAAAAAGUUCUCUCACGUCAGUUUUGGCCCAAGAGAAGAUAGAGUCCAAGUCUCUCAUGUUCUGGAUUCAGAUUCGGACUGCACAGACAUACCUGACUCAAAACGCACACAAGUUUUUCAUACGGACUCCGAAUUGGGUGAUUCUUUUUUUGUUGGAAACUAGAUUUCGUGCACUUUCCAACCCAAUUGAAAUCACCUUCAAAUUCGUCCGGAGCAUUGAGUUGUGGACGAAACAAUCUGAUGCUGCAGCAGAAUCCGAGUCAAACUACAAGUCCAAAGGUGUUACAUCACCUCCACUUGGGCCCAUUGGCCUUGUACGACCUAGAUUUAGUUUUAGGCUGCCUUGGGACGUCCUCCCACCUCCUUGGCCGCCACCCCUUGCUCCUAUAUAAGUAGAUCCAUCUAGUAGCUUUUCCUUGGGAUUUGUUUAGUUAAAAGUUAGCCAUUGCAACUUCGUGUGCUUCGUUUGUGUCCAACGACCAGACCAAGACCACUUUUCGGAUCCCCACCAUUAUCAAUACUUCAUACAUAUUCGCGAUAUUCAGAUUGCUUUUAUCAUAUUCUUGCUUGUUCUUCGAUUGCUUGCAGGAAUAGACCUUCGUGGUCAGGUUGAUCGUGCUCCGGCGUGGUCAAUAACCUCUCGGAGUUGGUUUAGCGAUUGCUAAGGCACAAUGUCGUUGCACGUUUGUAGUCGGAUCGUCAAAGUCGUCUCCACCAAAUCGAUAGUUAUCAUCUCAUCGAAAGAUCGGGACACCCCGCCUCUAUCACCUUGGUAUGGAACAAAUUGUGCCUCUGAUUUUGCUCAGCUUGUGUGACCGGCACACUCAAAACACGUUGAGCAACUAAACAUUCAUACCUGUCAGCGUCUUCAGGAGCCAUGUAUUGCGUCUCAUGAUCAGAAUCAUCUCCACCAUGUUCUUCACGUGUAAUAAGAGCCAAUGUCUCCUCAUCAUAGUCACUAGCGGACUCAUAUCCACCAUCCGCGGUAGCAAUCAUCACACGCGGAGAUUUGCAUUCUCUCGCAUAAUGACCUCCUCCCUUACAACGACGACAAAUAAUAUCACUUGUGUGCCCUGUUGAUGCCCUGGAAGAAGAAGAACUCUGUGCAGGCCCGGCAGGUGUGCUCUUGGCAGAUAAUGGUGGUUGUUCCUGUUUUCUUGUAUCACAGCUGUAGGAGGCACCUGAUUGAGGUGCUGGUGCAGUUGAAGUAGAAGAUGCACGCGGCGUCCAUGAGGAAGGUCGGCCUGCAGAAAAGUUAGUUCGCGCCAAUGCUUGUCGAUCCUGCACUUCACGUUCAGCUUUACAAGCAAGAUGGAAUAAACGAGUGAUAUUAGUAUACUCCUUAUAGUCUAGAAUGGUCUGAAUCUCUCUAUUUAAUCCACCCAGAAAACGUGCAAGCAUAGCUUCAUUCUCCUCAACAAUACCACAUCGAAUCAUGCCAGUUUGUAAUUCCUGAUAAUAUUCUUCUACAGAAUUUUUUCCUUGUCUUAAACGCUGCAAUUUUUGAAGCAAUUCACGAUGAUAAUAUGGUGGAACCCAACGCGUACGCAUAGCGGUUUUCAAAGCAGCCCAAGUAGUUGGAAUAGGAUAUAAUCUACAAUGUUCAGACCACCAGACACAUGCAAAACUAGUGAAAGCACAAACAGCAGCAGCAACCCGUCUCUCCUCGGGAUAUUGUAAACAUGUAAAACGUUGUUCAGUUUCUAACUCCCAAGUAAGAUAUAUAUCAGGAACAUAUCUACCCUCAAAUGGUGGAAUAUUCAAUUUCAGUUUAGGAAUAUUGAUGAGGACAUCAAUACCAUUGUUACACCCACAGCCCCUAUUGCUACAUAUACGGGACCAAUUACUAGAGCUCGCGCACGCCAAUUAAAUUAUCAGGUACUUUCGUUUCUUGGUAAUGAUUCUAAUGUUCAUGAGAAUAUGAUGCUGCCUAAAUUGGAUACAUUUGUUUUGCUUACAAAUGAAGGGCCUAGCUUGGAGAAGGAUGAACAUUGGAGCAAGAACAAGCAUGGAGAUGAUGCCAUGCGCAAGGGGAACAAGAACAGAGUUACAAGUGAUGAUUUCAGGACUUUGAAGCCACCAUAAUGGGUCCAUGAAGCCAUGGACGAAAUAUACAAGAUGCCACUUCAUAAAUUUCGUCCCGAGGCUAUUUUAGGUGCUGCGUCACCUUAUUAUUGGGCCAGGCCCAUGUAAUUUCGAAAUACAUAAGUAUAGGCUAUUUUUAGAGUCCGUAUGUGUGGGGAAACAAGAGAUAGGGUUGAUUUCGGACCCCUCCACCAAGGGCCACGAAAUUCCCCCCUCUUCCUCCAUAUAUACAGCCCUUAGGGCAUCGUUUAGACUUUGGGUUUUGUUUAGAUUAAAAGUUCGCCAUAGCUGCAACUUCGCGUACUUCGUUUGUGUUCAACGACCAGACAAAGGCGUCACAGAACCCCACCUUGAUCAAUAAAGCUUUCAUCUUAUAUUCGCAAUAUCCAGAUUGCAAUCUUAGUUUCUUGCUUGUUCUUCGUUUGCUCGCAGGAAACGGACCCUCGUGGUCAGGUUGAUCGUGCUCCGGCGUGGUCAAUAACCUCUCGGAGUUGGUUUAGCGAUUGCUAAGGCGCGACAUCCUCGCACGUUUGAUGAGGACAUGACUACCUUGGAUAUGACCAAAAAUAUUGCAUAUAUGCAUAUUUGUCAGGUGAUUUCUAGUGCAAACUAUUCAAUAAUCUAUUUAUGUUAUCCAGAACAAAAAUACUUCACACACUUUUGUGUUUUGUCUAAUUGCAGGUGUAUGGGACAUUUGUACAAUCCACAUAUGAAGAUAAGGAAGAAAGAGAUGUUUAUUUGCUGUCCAAAAAGUUCUCUCACGUCACUUUUGGCCCAAGAGAAGAUAGAGUCCAAGUCUCUCACGUUCUGGAUUCAAAUUCGGACUGCACAGACAUACCUGACUCAAAACGCACACAAGUUUUUCAUACGGACUCCGAAUUGGGUGAUUCUUUUUUUGUUGGAAACUAGAUUUCGUGCACUUUCCAACCCAAUUGGAAUCACCUUCAAAUUCGUCCGGAGCAUUGAGUUGUGGACGAAACAAUCUGAUGCUGCAGCAGAAUCCGAGUCAAACUACAAGUCCAAAGGUGUUACAUCACCUCCACUUGGGCCCAUUGGCCUUGUACGACCUAGAUUUAAUUUUAGGCUGCCUUGGGACGUCCUCCCACCUCCUUGGCCGCCACCCCUUGAUCCUAUAUAAGUAGAUCCAUCUAGUAGCUUUUUCCUUGGGAUUUGUUUAGUUAAAAGUUAGCCAUUGCAACUUCGUGUACUUCGUUUGUGUCCAACAACCAGACCAAGACCGCUUCCGGAUCCCCACCAUUAUCAAUACUUCAUAUAUAUUUGCAAUAUUCAGAUUGCUUUAUCAUAUUCUUGCUCGUUCUUCGAUUGCUUGCAGGAAUAGACCUUCGUGGUCAGGCUGACCGUGCUUCCAGCAUCGUCAGUAACCUCAGGAGAUUGGUUUAGCGAUUGCUAAGGCGCAACGUCGUUCACGUUUGUAGUCGUUUCGUCAAAGUCGUCUCCACCAAAUCGAUAGUUAUCAUCUCAUCGAAAGAUCGGGACCCUCGCCUCUAUCAAGUGGUAUCAGUUUUCAGGUUGCUCGGUGAGAUUUUACAAUUUUUCAUAGUUUAGAUCGCAUCUGUCAUUCAUACCUAUAGUCCAUGAAAAAGCCACAAAAAAAAGUUAGAUCUGUUCAUCCUUUAUCCAAGCCAGUCUGAGCCUUUGCAAUUUUCUAUUCGUUGCUUGCAUAGUUGAAUUAUCGGUUGCAUCGUCGUGUCAGUUGCUGGUCUUAGUGUCUAGUUCCUUUAGAGUUUCGAGUUCUGUUCACAUUAGUCACGCCGCCGCUGCAUCAUUAUCCCUUCCGCUGUCCACCAUCCCAUCUAUUAAUUUCCACCACGUGCUACGCACUGUUCAUUGUCAUAAUCAUAGUUGAGGUCAUUCACAUCUUCGCUUGAUCCAAUCUGCAUUUUAUCUAGUUUGUCUUGGAAAGAGGGAGAAA